GUCGUCGUAUAGCAUCGUCGUCCGUCGAGCGUCUCAGUGGCAACGUGACCGUCCGCGUUUGCUGUCCGUCGUUUCUCGAUUACGCGCGUCCCGUGCCCGCUGUUACGCGACUCCGCGUGUUCAUAAGAAAAUCUCGUGUCGCGCUUCCCUCGUGCAACACAACCGCUGCAACGGUAGGCGUACGUGUCGCGCGAUACGUACCCAAACGCGUCCUGGUGCAGCUAUACGCUCGAUGCUCGUUCCUGCUGAGCUAGCUGACGACUGUCCCGUGCUGUAGUUUGCCCUAACCAGACGCCGCAUUAUAUAGACGCAAACCUUACACACUAGACCCCGUCGUUCCGCAUUUUAUAUUACCACAAGACGCCGCGCCGCUUUUGAGUUUACCACUGUUUUGUGUAUUUCGUGUGUAUGCGCACGCGAGCGUGCGGUUAAUCGGAUAUUAUAUCGCGAGUGGCGCGUGUCAGGAGUCCGCGACGAAAAAAAGAAACCUAACUAUGGAGACCGAAGAAAUAACCAAGCUCGUCGACGGCAUUUAUAAGGUAGAACAGAACUAUAAUAAAAUAGACCUACCCGUUAUUAGUCGUAUGCGAAAUUUAACGAGUUACGUUGCGUAAAAAUAUACGAUUAUUUUUAUUUAACGAUUUAUUUACGAAGAUUCCGAUUAAAAUUAUACCGAUUUUAUUUUUAUUUUUAGAAAAUAAUCGUUAACAAUAAUAUUCAUCAAAAUGUUAUAUAUUAUAUGUUAUAAAAUGUUAUACCCUUAUUUCGUAGGUAGGUACACCAUAAACACAUGCGAGUUUUAAUUUUCAAAUAGCAACCUCCUUUGAAAUCGGAUUUAAAGAAGAACUAUUUUCCUAAAAAUUUUGAUACGCAUAACACGAAUAUUGAGUUUGUCAAUUAUUAUAAGUAAUAACAGUUUAAAAUUUAGACCGUAAGAGUACGGCAGGGUUAGCUCAUAUAACCUAAUCUUCCGGUGAACAUUUUAAACUGUUGUAAUUCCUAAAUGGUAUAUCGGAUAUUAGCGUUAUGCAUUUGAUAAUUUUCAAAUAAAACAUUAUCUUUUGGGAUCUGUAUUGAAAAGAGAGGAGGAUGGUCAUUCGUAAUAGUCAUUUAAGUUUUCAAGGAAUCUAGAGUAAAAUUUUGAAAAUCGUAAUAAAAUUAAGUUUGAAUCCAAAGUAGAAAUGAAAUUGACUUAAAAUACUUCGAGAAAUUAUCCAUAGAUCAUGAUAAAAGGCUAACCCAGUGUAUAGGUGUACAUUUUAAGUUAGGUUACGACUUGGGUUACAAUCAGUGUUUUACUUGUGAAAAAAGUAGUAGAGCUACUUAAAAAAAGUAGCGUUCCUAGCAUUUUAAUAUCCUUUACGUUACCACGCGGUGCUUCGCCUUCCACACCUCCUUUUAUGGUAUCUAAGAAGUAUUUAUAUAAAACCAUUAAAUACGUAUUAUAACAAAAUAUAAUAAUAUAAUAAUUGUUUAGCCAACAUUUAAAUGUACAAACCAACUACAGAUUUAUAUUUAUAUGAAUUAAUCUUUUUUUAUUUUUAUUUUUUAUUUUUUAUUUCUUAAUUUAAAAGAUUUCAUAAAUGAGAAUAUUGAUCAUUGGGUUAAACGAGAUAAUAGAAAUUGUUGUUCAAUGAUAAUACUAUAACAGGUCAGUGGCAUAGGUGUUCUCAGGAUUUUUUAUUGGGAGGGCAUAUGAAAAUGUAAUAAAAAGUGAGCCGUGGGGGCAUGGUUACCUGGAUUUAUAGAUAAUGAAUGGUUUAUCAUUGAUGGCUACUUAUAAAUUAUCACAUAUUAGGUAUAAAAUAUCAAUAAACUGUGUACAUAUUAGAAUACUUUAUAAGGUUUAUAUAUUUAACACAAAAAAUUAAGUUGAGAAAUUGUACAAAAAAAGGUAGGCUUAAAUAAUAACCCGCCACGCGCGUACUCUUUUAAAUUAUAAAUAGGGGUAGGUGUGCUAGAAUAUCUAAAAAAUUAGUAGAGGUACUCAGUCUUUCCGCGUCCCUCAAGUUAAGCACUGAUUAUUAUAUUGUAUACUGACUUAUAGGUACUGCAGUUUGAAAAGAUUGGAAGUUCCGCAUUUUUCGUCUGUCAAUUUAAAUUAUAUUUGAUGAUAAUUUGUUUUUUGCUCAUUAAAUUAUGCUAGCAAUUUGCUCAAGUUCUUCUAUUUUUUUAGAAGUUUUUUGGGGAAGGGAGAGAUAGAGGAAGUGGCAUCUUUGAACCCCUUACUGUAACGACCACGCAUGUGUUUGGGGGGGGGGGGUAUUUGUGAUGUUUGGUUUUCGAAAACUCUACAAGUAUACUUUUUAUCGAACAUCGAAUACGUAUAGAAUUUAUAUAAUAAACAAUAUACACUCCAAAGUUGUUUUUAAAUUUUUAAUAUAUAUUUUCUAUACACUCGACGUGUUGGAUAACAAGAUAUAGAACUUAUAUAUAAAAUAUAGAUGUAUUUUAUCCUCGUUUACAUCGGUGAGGGUUUAUGUCAAAUUAGAAUUUAUCGCGUUUUUAUAAAGUUUGUGUAUAUAGUUCAAGACAUGUAGUCUUGUGUUCUUAAUGCUCGAAAAAAAUACAUAAACAAAAACGCUGUAAAAACAUAGUAUGAUUUUUUACAAUAAAUAAAGUGCGGUAUAGUAAAUUAUAUGCAUAAUAUAGUGCCUAUGUAUAAAGACAUACAUCUGUCGGUUAUAAAUUAAGUUUUGGCCGGUUUUAAUAUAUUAUUGUUAUCGUUCUUAUUGUCUAGAUAGGGUGGUACUACAGCCGGUAGGUAUAUAAGAGAUGGGUUUGCGUGGAAAACGCGGGUAUUCCUGUGUGAUUUGGAUUGUGAGUCGGUCAACAUUUUUCAUUCGACCGGAAAAUUACAACUAGUCUUUAAUCGAAACAAUAUAUUAUUAUUAUAUACGUGUAUAAGAACGAAAACAGCUUUUUUGGGUUAUAAAAGUUCCACUAUAAUGAUAAAUGAAACGCUCCGAAGCAUUUUUGAUUUAGCGUCGUUAUUUCAUAUUUUAACGGGAGACUUUGUAUACCUGCAAUAAUAUACGAAUAUCUAAACAAAACGGUUAAAUAGUAUUGACUUUUGAAUAACAACUCAUUUAUAGUAUUGAGAUUAUAUUAUAUUUAUUUAUUUAAUGAAUGCUGGAGAAUUUUUAUAAAUACGUUUAUCUUUUUUUUUUUUGUAAAAUAGUAGGUUAUGCUUUAAAAGGAUGUCACACGCAAGCGUUCGUUUACAUGCGUAUAUUGAACAAAAAGAAGAUUCAAUAGGAAAUAUGGCAUAAUUAUACGACAUGCAGAACUUAAAUUGUGGCGUUUCCCCCAUUUUUUUGGAACAACAUUUUUAACGGAUUGUAAUUUUAAAAAAAAAACCGCAUCGUACUCUUAUGGUUUCAUAAUAAGUAUUUUUUACUCUGAAAGCAAAAUCAAAUCAUUUCUACUCGGAAUACGUCAGCAUGUUUUUGCAGCAACAUGGUCCGUGAAAGUCGGAUUGAGAUAGGAAAUUUGCGGGUAUCACGUUUUCUUUAACGUUUGUAUAAACAAACGUUAAAGAAACUUGUUUUUGCAUGUAUGUGUGUAUCCCUUAUAUUAUAGCUUUUUUGUAAAAUACUAUUUUACUUUUUUAGAUAAAGAAAAAAAAAAUGUCUGUACCAUUUUUUUUAAUAAAAACAGAUAUUUCAAACAUAUAAAUUAUUAUUAGAUAUACUUACUAUUUUACGAAAAGGUUAUAAACACAACGAGAGGCUUUAGAAAUGCUCUCCAAAAACGCUUUUUACUUUUAUGAUUCGUUCACGAGUGUUAAAAAUUUCAUUCAACCUAUAAAUGUUGCCAUUUAAGUUCGACGUGGUGUAAUUUCGUUGUACUGUUCGUCGAAUAGACAAACACCAGAUAGUGUACUCCACAUUUUUUUAAAAUUUAAAAAAAUUUUUUGUCAAUAUACUAUUGUAUAGAGAACUAAAACACUAAACUAGUUUUAAUUAAUUACAAUGCAAUAAGGCAUUAUUCUUGAGUUAAACUAUCGCAUUUAGAUAAAAUUAUUAUUUUUCUAUUAAUAUGGUAUUUUACUAUAUUGUCUCGCUCAACUUGUUUAAUUUUGUAGACAUAAGAAAACACGACAGUACGUUGUAAAAACUGCAUUUCUUAUAUAGGAAAGGGAUAUGAUUCAAAAUCGCUUUUCUGUAUUAGUAAAAUGCCGUUUUGUUAGUACAAUAUAAACUAUAUGAACUCAAUAAACAGUUACUUAAUAAUUUAAGAAUAUAAUAUGUCUUAUGCGAAUUAUAUUAAUAUAAUAAUAAUACAUUUUGGUUUAAAUCGAGAAAUCACACGUUUUUAAAAUACAAAUCGAAUAUCUACUAAAGUUAGGUUAAGUAUAGGAAAUACAUUCAUUUUUUAAUAAGAACAAAUCAAAAAAAAAAUAUUUCAAAUUUUAAAAGAUGAUUUUUUUUAGAUUUUAUACUUGAAUUCGUCGAUAAGAUAUUAUUUUGGCUAUAACAUUUAGGUAACUCUAUAUGAUAUUGUCUUUACAUGGUUAACUGUGAAUCGACUAACGGUAAAACGUAUUUUUAUUUUAAUCUUUUAUGUGCUUGUAGUCUGUAGAGUACUAUACAUAAUAUAUAGGCACAGUAUUAUUUUUUAAUUAUCAAAAACAAUAACCGGAUAUAAAUUAUGUUUAUUUAAUCUAUUAUGAGUUUAAAUUUGAUUAUUAUAAUAUUAUAUUAGUGCAGGUUUGAAAAUCGAUUAUAAUAAAAUACCUAUGGUAUCCUACCAAUACAUAUUUUAAUUAAUUACUUUUUUAAAUUCUGAGUGGAGCGAAGGAGCUUAUGGUUUUACAAUGUUGUUUAUUUUUAUUUAUGUUAUUUUUUCUGUGGACAACUUUUCUCCUAGCAAUUUCACUCAAAUUUAUAAUUAUAGCACUUUUUCCGAUAGGAAAUCUGACUGAAGAAGUACUUUAAGCAGGUAAUUUUUCGAUUUUCUCAGAAGUUUUCUCAGCAAAUGUAAAAAACCGGGAUAAAACAUGGGACACCAGGAAAAAGUUGAAAAACUGGGAAAAUCGGUACAACAUUAAACAAAUAUUAUAAAAAAAAUAUAUAAAGCCUAUUUAAUUCUUUUGCUAUAAAAUUACAUAAAUAUUGUUGAAAAAGCAUCACUAUCAACUGAACUCCGUUUAGAAUCGUUUUUUCGUAAACAAUGGUUUAUCGUUGCUUACAGGUAUACAUUAAAUUAUCUAUAACAGUGACUGCACCCGUCCCCAUUAUUCUAGGACGUAUUUUUAAAGUUAAUUAUUAUUAUUUUUCGUGAAAACAAAAUAACUUUGCUUAUAUCCGUCUUCAAAAAAUAAUAUUAACAUCUAACUUAAAAUAAUAGAACACGUCAGUUAUACUAAUUAGUUAAUAUAAUUUUGUACCCAUGCACAUUGUUGUAUUUGAAUGUGCUCUGAGCAUUUUAAAUAAUUUUUUUUAUGUACACAUUAUUAUUAAAUUAUUUACUUAUUUUCACAUUUAUUAGAUUUAUUAUUUGUCUAUGGUAAGACUAUAUUCAAGUAAACCCCAAUUUUUCUUUAUUUUAAAAGAAAAUAAUUAAGAUAAUUAAGUACCUGUUUUAUAAUCGUGCAAUAUGUAAAUACGUUAAACUGAAUAACAAAUGAUUGAUUGACUGGUCACCAGUGUGAGUUUAAAGUCACAAAUCUCUGUGAUGUUCAAAGUUUCGUUCAAAUUUGUUGUGACAAAUAUUAUUACACACAAGUUUUAGGAAACCGUAAAGUUAUACAUUACCUGCUUACCAGUUUGUACGUGUUUAAUAGUAUAUAGCAUAUAUAUACAUUUUAAAAAAAGAGGAAAUAACGAAUAAUCAUCGUACGUCAAUUAAAUGCGUUUACUCUUUGUCUUUUUAUUUAUAAACUGAAUUGAUAUCAGAUAAGAAUUUUUUUUUUUUGCUCCACUGACGUUUAAGUAAAUUGUAAAUAGAUUUUAAUAUAAUAAUGUUUACUUGACAUUUCAAAUAUAUAAUAGUCAUUCGAUACAGAUUUUUUUUGUAUUGUGUUUUAAAAACGUGAUGCUCUGUGUGACUAAUCGGAAUAAUAAAAAAAGAAAAAGAAAAACCGUUUUAGGGCGCAAAAGACGUACGGUAGUUGCGAAACAAUACAAAUUAAAUUAUUAUACAGUUUUAUGUGUUCGAUUAAGUAUUAUGCAAGUGUGUACUUACGCUGAUAAAAUAUUAUGUAGGUAUAAAAAAUUAAAAACCGUAGAAUAUUUUCAGUACCUACGUACAAAUUUUUGUGGAACUGAAAUUGUUUUCGUAUGUAAUAUACAUUUCUGUUUAUUAUUGAAAUGUAAUAAUAUAUAGUAUUACAUUAACUUUUGUCGAAUGCAAAGAAAUUAAUUUUUUAUACGUGUUGAUUAAAUAGUAUAAUAUUAUAAAUUAUUAUAAAUUAGAAAGGACUUUAUCCGAUAGUUAUAUUAUGUUAUUUGUUGCUGUAUGCAUUUUUAGAUCAAUAAAACAAAACAUAGUAAUGCAUAUUAGGUAGAGGAAAGUAUAUAAUAUAUACCCGAUCUUAUUUUGCGCAGUAUGUAUACUGGAACUGGAUCACAUAUGUUCACGCAUAAAUUGAAAAAUCACUAAAGUAUCGUACAUUUCGAAAAUAAUAUUCUUAAACAAUAUACCAGAAUAUUAUUGGUUUUUAAUAUUUGUUUAUUUAAUAUAGAUAGGAUAGAGAACGUUGUUAACUGGGGAAACUGAAAAUUAAAUUUGCAAGUUUUAUUAAUUAUUAGUAUAACUGUAUAGUGUAUAUAUAAUUUUAUUUUAUGUUUAAGAAAACAAAAUUCAAAAUAAUAAAAGAAUUAUUUUCGUACAUUUUCUCGUUCUUUCUACGAUUUUUUCUGGUUCUUCUCAAUUAUUAUCAAAGAUGUAAAAAAACCACUGAUUCUGCUCAUUAGCUAUAUAUUAAAAGAAACAAAAUCGAUUUUUUGUCAUUUUCCGAUUGGAGCAGUAUAUCUGGUUGAAAAAAUUCUGUAUACAAAUAUAAAAUAAUGAAAUUGGCAACGUCGUGGUGCGCUGUAAUUAUUUACCGUUUUACCUAUAAUUUUUUUUCAGUUUUUCCCAAUUAUUUUGAAUAUCCCUUUAGAAAAUCAAAAAACAACCUUUUAAAUGCACCAACUAGAACAAAUUUCUUCUCAGAAAAAGUGGUAUACUUUUUACUUCAAAGCAAGAUUUCUAGUAGAAAAGUUGUUCACAGACACAAACAAAAAUACAAGAAAAAAUAAAACCAAUAUGCUCUGAAUCUAAAAUGAUUAGGUGUUUUUAAAUAUCAAUUUUUCAAACAUUAUCUACUUUAAAAUAUCAAUUCAGUUAUCAAAACAUAUACUGGAACAAUGACAUAUUAUAGUAUUUAAUGGUUUAAUAUGUAUUAUUUCCGCGACCUGAUUUUAAUUAACAUUGUUUCCUAUUCUCCAAUUUCCAUUUACCCCACUUGACCCUAUAGUUCUAAAAUAAUUGUAAAUGUAUAAGUACUUGUGCACUUAACAUUUGUAAAAUAUGCACAAACAUUUUUUUUUAGUGAUUUAAUUAAAACAAAUUAAUUUUUUAAAAACCAUCUAAAAUAAGCGAAAAAACAAUUCUCUAAUUCAAUUAUCUGUCGCACCAUGACUAAAUUAAUAGAAAAAUUAUUUGUCUCAAUGUCAUUUUUACUUUUUAUUGAUUUUGACAUUAGUCUAUUACAUUAAUUUUAUUGAUAUAUUUGAUUCAUUUAUAUUUUAGUUGAUACAUUACUUCUUUUGAUAUUCAAAAAAUACUAUUUAUAAUAUAUUAUGAUUUUAUUAAUUAUUAGCUGUAUUAUCUAACUUCGCCGGUAAGCAGUUUUGUAAUUUUAAUGAUUAACAUUAUUUUUAUAUUUCACUCGUGAGAGAUGUAACAUGUUUGUUGGAUAAUUUUUGUAAAAAUGAAUAAAAUUUGAGAAUCUAUAAUAAUUUAUUAUUAUAAUUGUACAGUUGGUGCCCACGACUUUGUUUACAUUUUAAAUGACUCACGCGCCACCUAUUGUUAAAUCGGGAAACUGAGGGUAAAAUUACUUAGGUUGUUAUUCACAAAGAGUUAUGAAUAUUUAUUUUUGUUUAUAUUUAUAGAAAAUCUAGUUGUCCUGAUCCAGCAUUGCUUGUGUAAUAUAUAUUGUAACAACUUAACCUACCAACUAGAAAUUAACGAAUAAAAUUAUAUUUCUAGAUUAUUUUUAGACAAAGUGUUAUGUUUGAGACAACCUUAAUCGGAGAAAUUGUAAAAUAAAAUGUAGCCUAUAUACAUGGUAACCAGAUAUGAAAAUUUAAAAAAAUUAAAUUUUAAAAUUUAAGUCCUUCAUUGUAAUAAAAACCCCUCCCUGGAAAGAAUUGGCUAAUGUAUAUUGUGUAUACUAUUCUACCCAUUUUGCCGAUAGCAUAUCUCCAUCUAUAUAUAUAUAUAUUUUUAUCUGAUUAUUAUUUUUUCUAUUAUCAACUAUAAAAACGAAUUAUUUUAAAUCAUAAUAUCAAUUCAUUUGAUUUGUGUCAUUAUGAUGAAAAUACUUUGAAACUUAAGUAAUUUUAAGUCAACUUAAAGUACACAGGUAUAACUAAAGUAUAUAUAUUUAAAUUAAUUUUUAAAGGUAAAUAUUUAAAUAAAUAAAUACAAAACUUCAUUAAUAUAUGUUUCCUAAAUAUAUUUAUAUUUAUUUAUUUAUUAUUUAUAAUUGAAAAAAGUACAAAACAAGUAAAAUUUCAUGUGAUUAACACUAUUGUUAAGGACAUAGGAUAAUGCAUCAAAAAAGAGUACUGCCCUACAAAAAACAGUACGUCUGGGCACCAUAACUAUAUAUUACUCAGGGAUAGUGUAGCUUUAAGAAAUAACGUUUACCAUUUUUGAUCGUUUUACCCCGUUUUACCUCUAAUGGUUAAUUUUGGAAAACCCUUUCUUAGUGGGUCCUUGUAUUGUAACAAAACUACUGACCAAAUUUCAUACUCAUAGCAUUAGUGGUUCUGGUGACGAUGAAUCAUUCAGCCAGUCAGGAUAUGUUAUUUUAUAUAUACAAAUGAUAAUCGUUUUGAUAAAUGUUAUUUUAAAAGAUGAUGUGUGAAAAAACCAUAGAAAACCUGGAAAUGUCUAAAAUUAUAUACAACUAUACAUUUGGCAUUGUCGUAACACGAAAUAAAUUUUUUUCUAGCUGAAUUUUUGUUAACGGAAUCGCAAAACUAAUAUGCAAACACUGGAAGCCCUCUUUCCCCUAUUUAUAUUAUACAGGGUGAUUUUUUUUUUAUAAUAAACCAUCAAUUAUCUCGGAGGAUUUUAAGUAAAUUCAAUUUCUGUUUUUUCUAAUCAUUAUGGAGUCGUUUAAGCUUUUUUUAAAAUCAUUUUAAAUAUUUUACCCCUAAUCCAUGUACAUUAAAUAAGCACAUCAUUUUGAUUUUCAAAUACGAACUCCUCUUUUCCACACAGAUUUGAAUAGAGAAUAUUUUUCUUGAAAUUUGGAUAUGCAUAAUACUUAUAACUUAUUAACGGUAAAUCUGAUAUUAUCUGCGGGUUCAUAUUUGUAAACCAAAAUUAUGGGCUUAAAUUAAGGUUUAUGGAGUAAGGUUAAAACAUUUAAAUGGUUUUAAAAUAAAGCUUAAACGAUGCCAUAAUGAUUAAAAAAACCAGAAAUCAAACUCACUUAAACUCCUCCGAGAUAUAAUUGCUAGUUCAUGAUAAAAAAAUCACCCUGUAGGUACCUAUACCUAGGGGUUAGGUAUAUUUACUAAAAUGUUAUUUGUUUUUAUCUAUUUAAUACGUGUCUGAAAUGUCAUUGAACACGAUUUUCAUUGCUCGUGUAUAAAUUGUAUAUACUUAUACCUAUAUUAUUAUUAUGCUUAAUAAUAGGUGUUUGUGCAUAGGUAACAAAACGCACAUAUGAUAAUAAUAUCUAUUGUCACGAUCAUCGUAUAGGUAUAUUCGAUCCAAAGAAGUAAACUCAUAUCGCGCGGUCCGGUUAUAGUAUAUGAUUAUUAUAUUAUUAUUUUGCACUCUGGGUGUACCUUAGAUACUUAGAAUAUAUGAUAAGGCAGUGCCCUGACCUCACCUGGAACAGAAGAGGUCGACAAAUUUUCGGCAUAACCGCGAACAAUUAGCAAUUAAAAAAAAAAUUACUAUUGUUAUUGUAUGGCAGCGGUGGACACAUUGUGCCGUACCUACCUAUACACGAUCUAUAUUUUUACGUCCAAAACAUUUUUUAACACGACCCUACAAUAUUAUAUAUUAUCUGUUUUUCACCGGAGCGUGGCGGUGCGGUGAAGCUCACACACGCGAAUAUUAUAUCGUGAAAAAAAAAAUAAAAAAUAAAAAAUAAAACAAAAUACCACACUGCGAGUGAACCUAGUAUGCGGACACUUGAAGGUCGUCCGGUCGGCGACGACGGUUGGGAGUGCCGCAGAUUCCAUUCGUGAUUCGAGUUAAACGCUGGUUAAAAAAAAAAUUAUUAUUCAAGAAUGUUACCCGCUGGGGCGGCCGUAUCGAACAGUUACAGCCUUUUCUCCUCUCCGUCACUGUUUCUCUCUCCUUUUUUUCUUUACCACGAUAUUGCCACGAUAUUAUUAGGUAUAUCCACAUACGUAGGUAGGUACCUCUACACCAGGUUAUUAAGCUAUAUGUAUCCGCUACACUGUUCGGUGUAAUAUAAUAAUUAUUAUUAGCUUUACGGUCGGCGUUAUAUCUAUAACCAACGAGCCUGAGGAGUUUCUCACAGGACUGGACUUAUAAUCUCACUUUCCGGGGCCGUUACGAUAUUAUAUUAAAAUCAUAUUUAUACCGGCGCAUACUGUAUUAUAAUAUACAGAGUGGUACUCAUUAGGUCGUGAAACGGCGAUUUUCUUGGAGGAUUUUUUACAUACUCUUUUAAGGAUAAAGGGAUAAACAAUUUAAAGAGCGUGAAAAUAAAGUGUUUGAAUGAUUUCUUAUAGGUAACUGAACGAAAACAAAACUCAAUAAUAAAAUUCAAUAAAAUCUUUUGAUAAAAAUCGCUGGAUCGUGAUAAAUGGAUCACCCUAUAUUUAUAAUAUAUAUUCUUAACCUAACUUGUAUAUUAUAUAUAUUUGUGAAUACCUAUUUAUUUAUUUAUUUAUUUUAUACCUAGUUAUUGGUUCCUUUUAACAUUUACAGUGAAAAAUCAUAUAAUUAUAAAUUUAACAAAAUUUUUCUGUGGCGAUUCGAUACCGCGUGUAUUUUUUUCCGUAUAAAAAAAAAAACAUUUUUUAACGUUUAUUGAACUUUAGUACUCGACACUAAGUGAAAAUAAAUUUAUGAUAUAUUCUAUGAGUAUACAUUAUUUUAUACACCAUAUAAAGGAUUUAGUUUAACAUUUUAUAUAUUAUAUGAUACUAUUGUUAUUAAUCCUAUUUCAGAAUAAUAUUGCAAGUUGACGUACGUAUCUACAUAUACGAAUGGCCUUCAGUUAAAAGUAAAUAAAAAAUUAAUUGGGUUAGUUAUUGGUUUAAAGUUGAAACCAAACAAAUGUUCAAGUAAUACACAUUUUAAUUUGUAUACAAAUAAACAAAAUGUAUAUAUAAAUAAAACAUUGUAGUAAUACAUAAAUCGUAAUACUUACUGAGGAGAGUCAAUUUAAAUUGAAUUUAAAAUUAAAUGUAAAAAGGGUAAAAAUUCCAAGUUUAUACAAUAACAACUUUUAAUAGUCAAGUUAAUUAGUUAACAAUAAAAAUAAGUAACCAUAGUUAAUCUAAAAAGUUACAUUACAAUUUUUUUACGUUUUUAACUAGUUAAUGUCUACUAUUGAUGGUAUCUAUAUCGGCUAUAUCGUAGUAAAUAUCUGAAGUUUAAAAAAUAAUACGAGAGGUCAGUUCGUUUCUUUUUAAAUCCACCAAUGGUCAAGGCAAUUAUAUUAUGUACGUACUUACGUGCCCAUCAACAGGUUGCCGGUUCGUUAUUCACGAUCACAUUAAAAGACGUGAUGUAGGAAGUUAAUUCGAAAACCGAGACCUUAAGACUUAUGUGUAUAUAAAUGUAGGUACCUAUAUAUUAAAAAUGAAUGUUUUUUUUUUAUAAAUUAUGACUACAUUAUUAAUAAGCGAAGCGUAAUGCAUUUAUAUUUAUUAUUUUAUAUUAAUACCUAUAUUUUUAUCAAAAAUAAUAUGAUUAAGUCCAUAUCCAAGCCCAGAUUAAGGGAAAGAGGAUGCAGGCGGCCAUGGUCACAAAAUUCCAGGACCCUCAAUUUUUACAAAACUAUACAUUUGUUCUUUAUAUAAUUGUAUGUAAUCAUUAACUUUGCAUUUUUUGAUAUUUGUAUUGUUUUUAAUAACUUUUCGGUUAUGAAUUUUCGAAGAGACUACUAGAUUUACUAUUAUAUAUUAUUAUGUAUAGUUUUUAUUUUGUUGAAUCAUAUUAUGAAAUAAUUGUUAGCAUUUUUUUUUUUAUUAUUCUUUUUGUGGGAAUCAUUGAAAAUUUUGGCCCUUGCUUUUUUUAGGCUUUUAAAUGUCUUAACGCAGACGUAUCAAUAAGAUGAUCAUAAUAUAAUUUAAUACGCGUUAUAUUUAUUGAUUUUUUUUCUCUUUUAAAUGUGACAGAAUGACUUAACCUGUGAUUACUGACGAGGAAAAGAAGAGAAUAAUUCUAAUAGUCUAAACAUAUAAUAGUAUAAUAGUAUUAAACAACUAUAUAUAUAUAAUAUAUAAAAUUAUAUCGAUGUUUGUAAGGAAUACACACAUAUUGCGUGUAUUUAAAAAUUUUUUUCUUGAAAAAAUCUUUAAUUUAAUUAAUAUACACACAUAUGACAUAUAUAAUAAAAUAAAAUAAAUCUACUCCUUUACUCUGUAGCUUGUGAUGGAGCUAGUAGAGAGUUACCUUCUGACAAAAUAUUAAAAUGAACUAUACAAUUUAAUAAGCAAUCAGUUUAAUUUACAUGUUAUGAAAGAAAACGGACACAUAGUAUGAUAAGACAUAAUGGAAGACAAGAAAAUAUUAUUAUAUUUUCAUAUUACGGCUAAAAUGUGCAAUUUUGAAUAAUGUCUACUUUUCGUUUAAUAGAACCGAUUUUAUGUUAGUUUUAAUGUUAAAAUGAUUUGGCUUAUAUUAUCAAAAUUGAAGCUAAGAAUAUUUUCUCGUUUGUAUGUUGUUUUAGAUUCUGAGUGUAGCGAAGAAUGUAUUGGUUAUAUUAAGAUGUUAUUUAUUUUUAUUUUUUUGUGUACAAAAAUUCGACUAUACAUCUUGCUCAGAUAUAUACGCGCAGCAAUAUUUCUGAAAGGGAAUGUUUCCAAAUGAUACAUUGGGAAGGUCAUUUUUCGAUCUUCAUAAUAUCUGGAAAAAAACAGGAUAAAACGUAAGAACAACGGGAAAUUUACGAAAAUAAUGCUUUUAUUAUUUUUCAAUUUUGUUAUUUGUUGUAAUUCAGUUAAAAAUAUUCCCAAAGACUUGAAAUUUAAAUAGAACACUUAUAUUUACUUUUUUUAUACAUGGUAAAAUUGUCAACAAAUUUAAGUCAUGUUUGAGGUAUUUAUAGACAUUUUAAUUUUGAGAGUUUUGUACGUAAUUUUUAUUCGGUAGGUAGUGUGUGGUAAAAUUGUUAGACUUGACAAAAAUGCUUGAAAAUUUAAACCAAAAAUUCAUUAAAAGUCGGACGUUAUGGUCAGAAAAAAAAUUGAGUUUAAUGUAGUAUUUUUUUUAAAAAGGAAUUUUAAAAUCAAAUAUUGACGAAAAUCGUUUGUGUAAAAAAUUAUGUGGAAUAAAUCUAAUUUUUCAAUAUUUUGCUUUGGAGAUAUAUAUAUUGUUGAUUUACGAACGAUGGUGAAGUCAGAAUUGAGUGGACUGACUUAGUUUCGAAAUUUGAAGUUCUGAUAUUAUGAGGAUAUUAUAUGAUACAUUUUUGAUUUAUAAUUUAAAUUAAUGAUAAUUAAAUAGCUCUAUAUUGUCCAUACUAUUGUAAUGUCUAUCGUGGUCUAAUGGUACUUCAAGCCCAUUGGCGUCCUAGAGGUCGCGAGUUAUCGAACCCGUGAUUUAGAAAACAUUUUUUGCCUUAUUUAUUAUUUCCCUUUUACCUAAACAGGAGAAAAACAAAUGCAUUUUAAGUCUAUCUCAAGACCUCGAUAUCGCUCGCUCGGACUAUUUUAAUCGAAAAUACCUCUCGAUUUGUUGUGCAAACUUCUACCAGAAAUUUUACUAAGUAUAGCACCUUUACUGAAAUGAAAUUAUACCUGCAUGGUACUUAGGGAAUUCAAUUUUCAACUUUCACAAUAAAUGGGAAAAACGGGAAAAUUAACGAAAUAUAUUAGUAACAUAUUAUGAUAUUUUUUUUCUAUGGACAAGUUUUCUACCAGCAAUUUCGUUCCGAUUCACAAUUACAACACUUUUUCUGAAAGUAAAUUUUACUGGGAAGGUGCUCUAAAGAUUUUAUUUUUCGAUUUUCUAGGGAAUUUUAUCAUCAAAUGUGAAAAACCGGGAAAAAACAUAGGAAAUCCGGGAAAAACAAGAAAAUCGGUACAAUAUAAAACAAAAAAUAUGUAAUGCCUAUUUAAUUAUUUGAUCAUAAUAUGACAUAUAUUAUGAAUUAACAUAUUGUUGACAAAACAUCACUAUUAACUGAACUGCGCUCAGAAUCGAUUUUUCGUUAGCAAUGGUUUAUCGUUGUUUACAGGUAUACGUUAAAUUCUCGUCUAUAUCCUACCUUCUUAAUUUCCAACCUACAACAGUGGCUGCACUCACGUGCGAAGUAUGCCCGUUUUUUUCAAAUACGUGUAUAUUGCACUUGAAAAUUAAAAUAUCAAGAAAAAUAACCUAAAUCCGUUAUAUAUAUACACUGUAUAAAAAAUUAUAAUAUAUGAUUAUAGUAAUUGAAUUUAAAAAAAAUAUAGAUGCUCAAUAACCAAUAAUAAUAUUAACCUACCUAUAGUUACUUUACCUUCUAUUGUUGUUGGGUAUUAAACACCGUUACAGUUAAUUAACGAUUUUUUAGUCGUCCGAGACUAACAAUGUCUCUUGCAUUCUAAUAUACUAUUACACCGGAGUGUUUUGAAUAUAACUAAUAAUAAUAUACUCGUAAUAUAGGUAACUGGUCAAAAUUUAAUGGUUCGUUUAUUCGCGUUCCGCUAUACGUCCAUCCAUCAUACGGUAACAUAUAACCGUGUCGUCGUACAUUAAUUAUUAUUGAUAUCUUAAGUAAAUAUUAUAACGCUGUCAUAUUGUGUCUAAGUACAUUUUUGUUUUGUCAAUAAUACCGAUAUUAAUUAUUUUAUUUUUAUAAAAUAAAAAAAUUAAUUUUUAUCAGUAGGUGUAACUGGUAGUGUUUAAUAUUUAGACGAGACAUAUAUGUAUACAAUAAUCUAAAGUAAAUUGCAAUAAAAUAUUAUAAUUUAUUAUGGAAUUGAUGUAUUGUCUUUACCUAAUAUAUUUUAAAUAUUUAUACACUCGUCUACCUUCGCGAUUAUAGUAUUUUAUUUUGUAGUGUUUAAAAUUAUAUAGAAUUAAAAUAUUUACAUGCCAGUAUAGAGUAAAAAUUAAAUUGAAAUAGGUAUACUAUUUUCAAUUUCUACAGACACUUUGAAAUUAGCAUUAACGUAUUGUUUAAUAGUAUUUUUCUCAUUCUUAAAAUACAUUUAAGAUUCGGAGCGUAGUAAGAAAAGUAUUGGUUUUACAAUGAUAAUGAUUUUUAUUAAAUUUUAUUAUUUUUAUUAUACAGUGUGCACAAUUUCUACCAGAAAUCUUGUUUCGAUGUAUCAAGUGUAGCACCUCUUCUGAAAGAAAAUUUUGUUUGUUAGGUAUCUAUUAUUCAAAUUAUAUAACUUAAGAGAAAUACUUGAUCAUUUAUCACAAGGUGCAUUAUAAGUGUUCUAAAAUACAAAUUUAAGUUUAAUGCAUUCGUUUUUUUUUAUAAUACUUAUUUUAAAACCAAAUUUUUAUUCAAAUUUGUUAGAAAUAAUUUAUCUAUGCGUACAAAUAUAAAUUGAAUAAUUUAAUGUAUCAUGCCUUCCUAAUUUCCCACCUAUAACAGUGGCUGCACCUAUUCCCAGUAUCGGCUCUUUUUCAUUUUAUUUGUGUGUAAUAACCGUGUAAGUGUACUUAUUUUAAGUCGGUGAAAUGUAGAUUUGAGCAAUGAAUGAACAAUGAUGUUUUGUUAAAAGAGUGUAUACCACUAAAAAUUGAAAAAUAUGAUUUGGUAACAAAAAAAAUCAGAAAAAUUAGGAGCAUAAACUGGUUAAAGAACAUAUUUAAAUACAGAAAAUUAAGUUGGUAAUUUCGAUUAAAAUAUAUUCAGAUGACCUUUUAAAAUAUAGUAAAAUCAACUCUGAUUUGUCAAAAGGGCAUAUACCACGUUCAAUGCAUGUAUACUUUGUGUGCAAGUUAUUAUGCGUACGAGUAAUUUUAUUGUUUUCCAUGAUAAACGUCACUAAAAACUGUUUUACUGUUUCUUUGCAAAACAGUUUUUUUUGCUUACUAAAAAAAGUGAAAUAUGAUAGAUGUCCUUUUAAUAAAACACUGUCGAUAUAUGCACCUACCUAUUGCGCAAUUCAUAGGUAAAUAGGUCAUGCGCAAAUAGGUACGAUUACAAUUACAUAAGUUUUCAUUCGGAUAAUAACUAUAACAUAUUUUUUGAGAAGUAUUCACUGUAGACUGGUACUUUAGCAUCAAACUCGCCGUGUAUUGACAAACAACGUCUUGCCUCAGAAUUUGAUAAGAGUUUAUUAGUACGUUAAGUUGCAUAUCUUAUAUGAAUAUAAAUAUAUAAAUAUAAAUUGUUUUUUAUAUAACAGUCAAUUUUUCAAAAUUAUUUAUCGUAUAAGACAGAGGUGGCAAAUUAUUUUGACGCUAUGUGCCAAACAUAACCUUUUUUUUCCGAGCGUGCCUUUAAUUUAUAAAAAAUAUUAUGCAUACAUAAUAAAUAUGUAUAUAUAUAAUAAUAAAAAAUGUGUGGAAUUGUGAUGCUAUUAUUUAUUAUCAAAAAUAAAAUCACAUUAUAAAUACUUUAAUUUUUGCAUGCUCUCAAAAUUUUUUUACAUGUCAUGGAUUUGCCAUUUCUGGUAUAAGCCAUUGGUAUAGAACAUAAUUGGACAAUAAUACAAUAAUAUUUUUCAAUAAAAUAUUUCAUUUAAAUUCGAUAAAUAUAAAUUAAUGUAUUAAAAGUAAAAAGCUAGAUACUUUUGGAAUUAGAAGUUCAAAAAGUUUCGGCUGAUUUUGAAUGUAUUUUAAUCGUAUAUUGUUAGUUUUAGUUUAUGUGCCAAAAACAAUAAUUUGUGUUUAAUGACUACUAAGAGGAGGUACCUAACUAACUACUAUACUGUAAAUCGUUUUUAGCCACACGCGGUUUCUAGUUCCUAACGAUGUUUGCGAAAUGUUUAUCUAAUACUUAUAAAACUCCAAAAGAUUAUUAUAUCACCAGAAGGUGAUUAGGCGUCUUACUUUAUAUUUAUUUUUACAUGCCCGUUAACUAUUCGUGUUACUAUACACUCGUUUAAGCUAAUUUUCUAAUGAAUUAGACAAAAAUUACUCCUAUAAAGUAUAGUAUCUUAUAUAUUAAUUCUAUGAUAAUAUCAGGUGAUUCAUUUAAAAGGGUACAGUCAUUAUCUUGAAAAGUAUUAACUUUCUUCGGAAUUUGUUUUCUAAAACAUUUAAAAAACAAGUCAUUUUACAAUUUUAUAUUUAUGUUAUUUUUUUGUAACCCUUAUUUUUGAGGGUAAAACCACUACUUACUUUAGAUUUUCAAAUGACAAUCUAUAUUAAAAAUUCCAUAAAUAGAUGGAGUAUUAGUUAAAAUCAAUUUUAGUGUUGACAUUUUUGAUUUCCGUUGGUCCAUUGACGACAUUCCUCUUAUAAAAGCGAAUUAUUCGCUGUUGUUCUAUGGAAAAUGCAUUGUUAUCGCACUAUUGUGCUACUUAUCAAAAUAUAAUCGUACGCUACCAGUAUGGCUACUACAAAAAUAAUGCUCAUACGCUACAGUAGUGUCGAUAUUUUCAACCAGUGAUGUUAACUAUCUAUCGCCAUAGUUAUUGGUUAUCGCAAUAACUAUUACGAUAUGUACCAAACUGAUAUAUAUGAUAAAACAUGAUAAAAGUGACAAAAUAUAUCAGACACCCCACGCUAGAAUAAAUGUACAAUGAUGUUAUAUCAUAACGUUAUUGUUAGUAACGAUAUUUGAGUAACGCGAUUGUAAAAGUUCGUUAAUUACAAAAUUAUUAUUUCACGUCUGUCACAUUGUGAGAGUUUUGAUUGAUCGCCCGAACCCCCGUAUACUGUACGGAGAAAUGACCGUCGUCUAGAUAAAAUAUAUAUAUACUCGUGUCUGUAUAUUAUGCAUUAGGCGCGAAGUGAAAGUUUUCGUUUUCUAAUUUAUAUUGUAUUUAAUGUAAAGUUAUUGAAAAUUUAUUUCGAUGGGCGAUUUAUGUGUAGGGAAAAAAUGAUGGAAAUUAAAAAUGUUAUCACCAAAAUAGAUUUAAACUAAUCUGUCUAUUAAUGGCAUUUUUAAUAUAGGUUGCCAUUUGAAAACCAAUAGUAGGUAGUGGAAAAGAGUAAUGUAACAUUUUAAAGCUUAUAAUUUCUUAAAUUUUCUAAAAAGCUAGUUCUGAAAAAAGUUAAUACUUUCUGAGAAUAAUGAGUGUAUUACGUUAUGUUGAUUACCUUGUAUAACGUUACUACAAUUUUUGUCUUUGGUUGUGACAAUAGUCUGUUAAUUCUUUAACUAUUGUAUAUUUAUUUGAUCCCCGCCUUUGAUUCCCAUUUAAUAACUAUAUAAUAUUCUUAAAAAGUUCUAAGCAAACUUUAUAGCUAUUUUUUAUUUUUAUCCCUAAUAUUCCUUCCACAUCACACUAGCACCCGAAAUUUGAAAAUUAAUUUGAUCGGAUUUGAGAGGAGGGGGGAGAGAAAUGAACAUUUUGAGGUUAGAAAUUUGUAAAAAUGAUAUACCGAUCGAUCGUUAUAGUUUUCCAGUCGAUAGGUCAAAUAUUAAAAAACGCUGGUGUCUAAGUUUAGUAGUUUAAGGAAAUCGGUGUGAAGAAGUACUUUAAGGAGAUCAUUUUCCUAUUUUCCCAAGAGUUUUCUUUUCAAAUGUAGUAAUCCGAGAAAAAACAUGGGAAAACCGGGAAAAAUGCAGGAAAAACGGAAAAUCGAUACAAUAUUAAAUAAAUAUUAUUAAAGAAAAUAUAUAAUGACUAUUCAAUAAUUUAACCAUAUAACGAUACAUAUAUUGUUGACAUAACAUCACUAUCACUGAACUGCGCUCAGAAUCGUUUUUUCUUUAGAGGAAAAUACUGUAGGAUACUCUGUAUAAUUGGUACUACUCGUGAUAGCGAGUUUGAAUCAGUUUGAACCAAUAAUGAGUUAAAAUAUUAAUUUUUUUUCAAAGACAUUUUCAAGUAUCAGUUUGUUUUUGCAAAAGUAAUGUUAAUGUUAAAUAAUAUUGAGGCAAUGAUCCUAGUCGGUCAAAACUUUUCAAAACUUGCUCAAAUGAAAAUUUUAAAUAAUUGAUAUUCUCAAUUUUUUUUUCUUCAUAUAGGUUAGGUACUCCAAAAAAAAAAAUUAUAAAUUUCAAUCAGAGUCGAUUAUUUAUUAUGUACAUAUAAUAUUAUUACAUUGUACUACAAAUUUAUUAAAAAAAAAAAAAAACUAUAUAAUCUAUAUUUAGAUGAAUUAUUAGAAUGUAUUUAUAUUACAUAAUUGUAUACAGUAGUAGUGUAUAUUUAGUAUUUUUGCUAGGGACGGAUACAAAUAGUUUUAUUCACAGACUUGUGGGGGGCUUUGCCCUCCCUCCCGCUUGAUAUGCAUUACAAAUGUGUAGAUACACCCAUUUCACUUGUGAUAAAAUGUGAAGAUUUUACUACGGUAACCACGUAUUUUAUACCAUUAUCUAUUAUCACAAUUAUAGUACCUAUCACGGAAUAUAUAUUUUAUUUUUUAAUUAUAAUAUCAAUAUUAUAUAUAUAAGUAAGAAGAUAACAGUCACAAAAUUUCCUUUAGUUUUCGAUAAAACUCAAAGGAAAUUCGAAUUUCAGUAAAAGGUUUCGUUCCAAUUAAAUAUACAUUAUUAUUUAUAUAAAUAAAAGAGGCCAGGGCGGGAUAGUUAAAAUAUUUCGUUUAAAUGGCAGCAUUUGAAAUUCUCAAUGCACAACUACGCCAUGACCAACUGAUAACUGUAUUUUAUUAUUAUUUUUGUUUUGUCUUUGUUUUGCUGACUUGCAUUGGUAAUUCGAAAUUACUGUAUACAUUACUAUGACCUUACUGCGUGCAUACCGAUCAUACAUUUUUAGCCCUGAAUAUUUUACCUAUAACUUCAAAAAAUGUGUAGACAUAUCGUAUAUACAGUGGAGUGUAGACAAAUCUUUUAUGAAAAAUAACGCACAACAAAUAUUUCAGCACUCACAUCGUCCCUUCAUAAAACACCCGUCACCUUCAUUUUAUUAUUUUUUUUAAUUUCUGUCUAUCUGGACAAAUUUUUAUUAUGUAUAUAAAUAGUAAAUACUAUUUAAUCGAUUAAUGUUUUGAUCCAUUUAUUGAUAAUGAUUAUUACUGAAUACCAAACACUUAUUGUUGAUGUUUUUCUUGCCAACCUAUACAAUUAACCACCGAAUUUCAAUUGUGACGUCUAUUGAAAACAUAUAUAUUAUAAAUGUAUUGUAUAUAUUGAAAACCCGAAAUGUUAAAAACCACGUCACCACACCACUGGGCGUAUAGACGUAUUUGUAUAAGAAUAUUUUAGAAAUGUAUGCAAUUAUUGUAAUUUGUAACAUUUGAUUAUUGCAAAUUUUAUAUAAAACGGACAAAAUUUGAAAAAAAUUUUGAAUUUAUAUUUUCUGGCUGUGUUAUCAGAAAAUAUUAUUUAGUAAACCUUAAAUAAAAAAAAAAAAUAAAUAAAUAAAUAGUAACGAUAAAUACAAAUAUAUGUAUAUAAAAAAACACAAUUAAAUAAAUUACCAAUAACGAUUGUUACACUUGUAAUUAAAAUUUCGUCGAUUUCCGUUUGAAUAAUUAUUAUAACUUUGUCCUUGAAUUUCGCGAUUCAUCGCUCAACUAGUGAUCACUUGUAUACUAUUACGCAUUUUAAUUAAAACUUACAUAUCUGCUUUGUAUUCAUUUUUAAUGUUUACAUAAAAUAUUUUUUUUGGCACAAUUGAAGAAUUUGUUUUAUUAGGUUUUCCCGGUAGUAUAUUAUGACGUGGUCUACAAUCCUAUUCCUAUAUAAUAUAAAAUAUAAAUUAUAUUCGUAUAUAAUACAACCCUGAUAUAUUCCAAAUAUAAUUAUUUGACUAAAAUGUUGACAAAUAUUUUGUAUUAUAUAAUUUGUUUACGAUUUUAGUGUCAAAUAUGCUGAUUUAACUCUUGAAGUGUAAAUUAAGAUUUUUUUUCACGAUCCGGAUGGUGUUUAAUAUAAUAUUAUGUUGAUGAUCGAUGAAUAAAUAAGGGAUACACACGCACGGUGUACUGGUGGUUGUGGUAGAUUUCAUAUGUACGUAUACAAAGUUUCAAGGUCUCAUUAGCGUGUUGUUGCUCAGUUUUAGGUCAGCUGACUAUACUACGCUAAUAUUUAUAUAAUAAUAUUCUAGUCACGAUUCGCGUUGAACAUAAACUAUAAACUUCUCAAUAGCUUUUUUUUUUCUCCUACACUCCUUUGUUCAUCUUCAAAUUGUGACCAAGUAUAUAUAAUAUUUUACUUGUUCCGUAAAUACGUAAUACACUUCCAUAAUAUUAUAUAGUAGGCAUAGGUAUCAUUAUACUCGCGGAACCGUGUAAAAGGUACUUUUUCAUCGAUACGCACGUGCUCAUUUUCACCGACAGAAUACCAUUUUAAAUGUAUGUAAGUAGUCUAAUAGGUGCAUUAUUGUGUCGGGUGUUUUGUGGCGAAGUGGAAAUUAUAACGUGACCUCAUCCACACGUGUAUAUAAUAAUAUUAUGUACAUAUGUACUUAAAUGUAUGUAUUACACAUUUAUAAUAUAUUGUAUUAAUAUAGUAAGGUUACGUCUAUGUUUGCAUUUUUGUUUAUAAUAUUAUUAUCGAUUUCAUAAUCAAUUUCAGAUUUAUGAAGUAUAUUUGUUUGAUUCAUAAUUUGUGAGGUAGACGAUAUAAAUAGUUGAUAAAUAGCAUUGAAUUUAACUCUCGUAUAGAUCAUAUUAUUUUUAAGAUGAGCUUGUAGAAAUUUCUGACGAUAAAUUCAUUUAUUAUACCAACCGGUUGGUAAUAUUUUUCAUUCGGAUUGGUAUUUUGUUAUUGGUUUUAAGCCAAAUUCUAAAACCCGUUAAUAGGAUAUUUUAUUUUUUUAAAUAAAUUAUACUGUACAAGUAAUUUCGUUGGUAACAAAUUGUUAUCUUUUAACUAACGAACAGCAAUCUUCCGGAGAGAUAAAGGAAAUAUCUACCUAAUUAUAUUAGCCGAAGAAUUAUAAUAUUAAAAUAUUCAUUAAUAAAUAAUUUUAAAAACAAUUUAAAUUAAAAAAUUUUUUUUAAAGAAUUUCCUGAUUACAUGACAAUCACAAAGCUGCGAAAUUUGUGUAUUAUAUCUAUAUUUUUUAAACUAUUUCUUUAGUUUUUUAACAUAACUGGGCAAGCUCAUCAUGUGAGGACCUGUAAAAUCGUAUUAAUUUAGUUUUAAAGAAACUUUAUAUUAUUGCAGCAUGUAAUAUUUUAAUUAAAAUUUAUUUAUUUAUGUUUCAUAUUUAUUGAAUUAUUAUAGUUUUAAUUCUACUGUUAAUAUUAUAGACAAAUAAAGAUAAUAAUUUUAUUUUUUUUUAUUUUCCCCGACUUUCGCAUUGUAUAUAUCUUUUUUCAGCUAAUUUUGAAUAUUUAUAGUGGCUUUGGAGAAAAUUCGGGAACUACAAUUGUUUUGUAGGUAGAUUGAAGUGAUAUAAGUUCGGUUGAAAUUCAAUAUUAACUUAUUCAUUAUUUUUUUUAGUAUUUUACACUGAUUGAAACCAGAAACCUGGAAAAUGGUAUAUAGCGUUAGCAUUAAUGAUGUACCUUUUGGGGGUUUCAACUUUUAUUUCUUACCCAUUCCAUUUUCAUGAUGCAAUUUCACGAUUUUUUUUUUUGGGUUAUUUCCAAAAAAAAAAAAAACAAAAAACGAUGGCGUCAAAUUUUACGUAUCUCAAAUCGUAAAUCAAACAAACGUUUUUUUAGAUUUCAAGUGAAUUGAAGAAUAUGUUAGUUUUAUAAUGAUAUUUUGUUUUAAUUUUUAUUUAUACUGUGCACAAAAUAUCUUUCAGAAAUCUUGUACCUAUGUAUCAAAUGUAGCACCUUAUUUUCAUAAAGGAAAUUUAAUCUAGUUGGUACUUUACGAAGGUCAUUUUUUAAUUUUCUAAGUGAGUUUCUUAAUAAUUGAGAAACACUGGGAAAAAACGUAGGAAAAACGUAGGGAUGAACAAAUAUUUAUGGCAUAACGAUUUCUUGAUUUUACAUUUUUGUAAACUAUGUUUUCUAUUAGACACCUCACUUUAAUCAAACAAUAAAAAUAUAACGUUUUUUGUCGAAUUUCGGAAUUAGAUACUCACAAAGAAAGUCGGUUUUUGAUUUUUUAAGUGGUUUUCAUUAUAAUUGAGAAGAACUAAAAAAGACGGAGUUGAAGGAACGGGAAAAUUUACUUUUAUUAUUUUCAAUUUUGUUUUUUUGUUAUGAUUCAGUUGAAAAUAUUCGUAGGUACUUUGACAGAAAACUUAUAAUUGUCUUUUAUAGACGUGGUAAAAUUUUUAAAACAUUUGAUUUAUUUUUGAACUAUUUAUAGAUAUUUUAAUUUUGCGAGUUUUGUACAUAAUAUUUAUUCGGUAUAGGUACUUUGUGGAAAAAAUCGUUAGACCAACAAAAGUGCUUGAAAAUUUAGCUGGGGGUUCAUUAUAAGUUGUACUUAGUGGUCAGUAAGAAAAAGUUGAAUUAACGUAGUAUUUUUAUUUUAUAAGCAUUUUAUAAUUAAAUAACCUAACCUAACCUUUCAAACUAUAUAUAACUAAACUCUGGCUCAGAAUCGUGUUUCAUUGGUAAAGAUUUAUUUUUACUUACAAAUAUAAAUUAAAUAACUUUAUGUCCGUUUUUAAAUUAUUGAGGUUAUAUUUUAUAGUAUUUUUUUUAACUGCUCUGUUUAGAUUUCCGAAUGACAAAAUAUAAUAUAACAAAUAUUUAGUAAUUUUAUUUCAUCUCUUAAAUAUGAGCGAAUAAUUUUUUUCGGUAAUAAAACAAUUUUUUUUUCGUUUUUUUUUUUUAAAUGUAUGAAAUUUAUAAUAACGACGAUACCUUGUGUUAAACAAAUAUAUUAAUACUCAAUUGAAAGAAACGAACGAUGAACGAUUGAUUACAUAUUAUUAUUAAACAAAGUAAAUAUAUAUUUAUUUACUAUAAAAUAAAUAAAUAAAAAAUGUAUGUAUAAAAAUAAAAAAAUAAAUAAAUAAAUGGGUUAGGUGAGAUAUGGCGUAGGGUUAAUGAUAACAUUAAUAUUUUAUGAGCACAAAAUACACAAAAAUUGCAACUUAAAAACUAACAUUCUUUUCAACCACGAAUUACUAGUUUAAUUUCCAUAAUUUUCAAUAAAGCUGAAAACAAUUUAUUAAAUAAAGGUAGUAAAUUCAAUACAUAUUUAUCAAACAUUAAACUUUCAAUCAAUUAAAAAAACUCCUAAAAAACGAAAAAUUACCUCUCUAAAGUACCUCCUCAAUGAAAUUUACUUUUAGAAACAUUGUUAUUAUUUAACGUUGGAGCAAAAUUGCUGGUAGAAAAGUUGUUCACAGAAAAAAAAAUUGUAAUUUAUAUUUAGUAUAUUCGUACAUUUCCCGUUCUUUUUUCGGUUUUUGUAUUUAAUGAGGAAACUCUUGAGAAAAUCGAAAAGACCUCCCCACACUGAUUUACUUUUAGAAAAGAUGUUUCACGUAGAAAUUUGAGCAAGUCUUCUGGUAGAAAAAUCGUUAACAAAUAAAAAAAAUAAAAAAAAUAAAAAAAUAAACAUCUUUGUUAAACCAUAAGCUUCUUCGCUCCACUCAGAAUCUAACCUAACCGAACUACAAAAAUAAGCCUGAUAAAUUAUUAAAACAAAAUAGUAUAUUUAAACAAAAGAAUACAAUUAUUAAUAAGAUAGUGGAUAAAUUAAAAACAAACAAUUCAGAAAUAGUUCCGGUAGAUAAAUCUAACACUAUUGUUAUCAUUUAUACCAAUGAAAUUCUUAAAAAAAAUUAGAUUCUAUAAAUAAUAAUAAUAUUUAAAACUUAACAUAUCACCCAACUAUAAUUUACACUAAACAAAUUAAUAAAUUGAUAACAUAUUCGAAAGAAAUCAGACCUAAAGUCCAAAAGAAAAUAUUAUUAAAAUCUGAUUAAAAAAUAGAGGCUCUACGAGCCUAGGCUCAUACACUUAAAUACAUUCACAAAAUUAUAUAAACAAGAUAAUCCGAUUCGUCCAUUAAUUGACUUUAAAACUGCUCUUGCUUAUUACCUUAUUAAAUAUUUAGACUCUCUUAUAAAAGAAAAUUUAAACAUGAAUACUGAUACUUCUAUAAAAAACACUUAUGAUUUUAUUGAUAAAAUUAACUAAAUUAAUAUUGUGCCAGGCUACAAAAUGAUUUAUCAUUACGUUAAAAAUGUACAUACAUCCAUUCUUAAACACGAAAUAGUAAUUUCUUUUUAAAAUAAACUUAUACGUUACAAUACAUUUAAUACAAACGAAGUACUAGAAAAUAUUAAGUCAAUAAAUAUAAUUAUUGAUAAAUUAUUGAUACACUUAUCAUAAUACUCCUGGCGACGCAUUUAUUCAUUUAUUUAUUUUUUAUUUAUAUAUUUAUUUACGAAUGUUCACUAUUUUAAUAAUUUUGUUUUUACUUUAUUAUUUUAUUAUAUGUUAUUCUUAUUUAAACUAAUAAUUUCACAAUAAUUUAAAUGUAAAUAUAACAUAUGGUUAUACGAUUAUCGUACCUAUAUGUUUGAUGAAUAAUGAGAUUCAUGGUAGACAUUACUAGUGAAGCUUAUGUCAGUACUGCACAUUGCUUGUGAAAUUAUAACGAUAAUAAUAUUCUGGUGACUGGCUUAUAAAUGAUAAAAGGCUGGUAGCCUUGGGGAUACUUGGGACUCUUAUACUUCCAUUUGAUAACAGCAAUAUAAUAUAAUAGAUUUCGAUUAAAACAUUUGUGCAAUAUAUUGCCCGUAAAUAAGUUUCAGUCUAAAAACGAAUUUAAACAGUUUUGUUCACCUUUCACUUUUUAUUAUUUUAGAGUUGGGAAUUGCUAUAUAAUAUAUUGGUAAUUAAAUACGAUUAUUACUUUGUUAAUUUUAUGAAUUGCGUACAACUACUUGAAUAAUAUAUUUUGAUUUUCAUUAAUACAUAUUUCCAAAUAGCAAUCAUUUUUAUAAUUGUGUAUAGUGAGAAAGUUUGUAGGCGAAAUUGGAAUAUAUUCAAUUAUGGGAACAAUGGGAUAACUUUUUUUGACUAGCUGAUUUCACUUGUAUCCUCAAUAAUAUAUAAUAGGUAGGUAAGGUUAUAUAUAACCUAGGUAUUAUAUUAUAAUCUAAUGCACUUAUUUAAUAUCUACAAAUGAUUUUAUGAGAAAUGUUUUGGUAUAACACUUUAAUGUUGUAAUAUAUUAUGUUUAUAUAGUAAGUUAAAGUAGUUAAUUUACAUACUGAAAGCAACGAAAAUUGAAAUGAUUCUAAAUGGAGAUCAUCGGCAAACCGGUAAGAUUAAAGUAUUAGUAAUAUUUUUUUUCGUCUGUAGGAAAGGUAACCCGGAAAUCGUCAAAAAAUAAAAUUGACGUAUCGACACUUGUUGCCAGUUAUUAUUAAUUUGUUUUAUUUAGAGAAACUGUUGGGAAUCUAGAAAAAUAGUAUUCUGAAAAGUGUGCACAUAUUUUAUGAAAAUAAUGCGUGUAGAGCGAUUUGAUGCGAUUAUAUAUGUGCGUGAAACAUUGGGUGGUUUAUUACAAAUAUUAUUAUAUAAAUAUUGUGUAGUUUUUAGUAUUAACCUUCAAAAAGGAAGUAAUAAGGGAAAAGUUGGGUCUAUGGUGUUAAAUUUUGAAUUAUUACUAGUAACGAGGGAGGGGGAGGGGAAUUAUUUUAUAAUUGUAUGUAGAACAACACAAUAAGUGUGAAUUUGGGGGGAAAAUAUGUUUUAUAUUAUUUUGAGUGGAAAAAAUGAAUUAACAUUUUUAGAGUAAAAAUUAGAGAUACAAGUUUGAAAGAAAUCAAUUAAAAAUUGUUUUGCGCGCAUCCCCUCUAUUUGACGGCGCUCCAGGCUACAGAUUUUUAGCUUAUUGAUUAAUCAGGCCUUGUCUAAUUGAGUAACCGGUAAAUCAUUCUAUUAAUAUGGUUAUAGGUGUAAAUAACGAUUAUGAGUUGUAUAAGUAGUGUUAGUCGAAUUGUUUUGCUUCGAACUAUUUUACUAAGAUAACUCGAACAAUUUAUUUUUCUCGGAAGAGUUUUUUUUGAACUACAAAAAUCGUUUAAAUUUUUUGAAAAGAAAUAGAUUAUUUUAAAUGGAUUGUAUUUUAAAUUGGCUAUUUUUCUAAAAUUUUCACUUUCCCAUGUAUUGACAUAAAAUUCAACACGUUUAUUCACUUUGAUUAUAAUCGGAUAGCACUAAUAUAUCCAAAGAUGUUAUUUUUAUUUUUUUGAUUUUGCAUUUAAUCUUUUGAUAAUCGAUAUUAUAUGGCUGCAAAUGAACGGACUAAUGUAAUAAUUUGUUCGUUCGGAAGUCGAGCGAUCGAUAGCAUGCAUACGUAUCUGGAAAAUAAUGCGAAACUUUAAAAAAAGAAAAGAGCGUUUUCUUUAUACUUUUCUUAUUUCCCCCAAUUGUCUAAAAGCCAAAAAUGCGAACGAAAAUGUCAUCUAGAUUUAUGGAUGCUUUCCCCUUGUGACUUUCAGCAAGGACACAUGUACACACACGCCCAUACACAGUAAUAUUAUGCCUCCAAGGUAAACGUGAUUUUUCCACUCGUUCCGUUUGUACGAUCCCCCGAGUUCAUUCUCAUAUUAUAUUGAGAUAUACGGCUGCUGUAUGGUACAUUUGUUUUGGAAUAUGCAAACACGCUACAAGUAAAUAAUGAUGGAAUUAUUGAAAGCAAAACACAUUGUUCCCUUUGGAAUUCGUUACAAAAGAUAUCUUUGAAAUAUUAUAUAUUAUGUAUAAUAACAUGUUAUAAAAUGUAUAUUUUACUCGCGUAUUUUGCAAUGUUACCAAUAUUUUUUCUGAUAAAACAUUGAAAUUGCCAUAUACGUUUUACAGAUCAACAACACAUAUAUGGCUUAUUAUUAAUUAUUUUAUUUUCGAAUUUAAACUUGAUCCUUGAAUGAAUGAAAGAUAAAAACCGGACAUAAUUCGCACGAUACAUAGAUCGACCGCUGUUUUAGGAGAAAAGUUGAGAAGAUAGGAAAUAGAGGAUAAUUUAAUAUAUUUUCGUAUGCAAUUAUUAAACAUUGCUACCGAAAAAUGAUUCUGAGUGAAGUUAGAUUAUACAUAUUUUAAAAGGCCGUAAUAUUUACACGUUUCGUUAAAAUUUGAUAUUAGAAUUUGUAUAUAAAAAAACGAAAAUACUACAUUAAACUCAUCUUUUUCUUGCUGACCGCUAAAUAAACUCAAAAGUUUGUUUAAUAUUAUAGAAUCUGACUGCAAUUAUCAUUGAUAAUAACUAGAACACAGUUAACUAUUUUUUUUUUAUUAUUAUUAUUGUGCAUUUAAUCUAAUAUUAAAGUAUGUAUUUUAUUGAUUUUAUAAUAAACCAAGUACCUAAAAGGUCAUUGAAGGAAAUUUAUAACAUUGUAGGUUUAUGGUACAAGUUUCAAAUCCUAUUAUAAACGCAAGUACAACUUCACUCGAUUUAAGUACCUAUACUUUAUAGUAUAGGUAAUAUACUAUCCUUUCUUUAUUUGCGAUCAUUAUCGUAACAAACUUAAGAUUCCAACUUAUAUUUAGCAUUUAUUUGAUUUGGUAUAAUAUAUAAUAUAAAUUUUGCUGUUUGUCGUUAUUAACAAUUAUAUUUCGAUUGAAAGAAAAUAAAUUAUAUUUGAAAAAGCAAUAUAUUAAUAAAGAUAUUUAUUUUUGUUCGCCGAUAUUAGAUAGUAUUAUAUUGAAAUAAAAUUAAUGAGAUAUUUGAGUAUAAGGUAUGAAAAUAAAAGAAUAAAUGUAAUAUAUAUAUACAUUGCGAAUUAAACAAUGUAUAGGUCGAAAAUAAGGAGGUAUGCUAAUUGUAAUUAUACUGCGUGCAGAAGUCAUAAUGUUUUCUAUAAUAUAUUAUGUUUUUAUUAAUAAUGACUGAUACUAUUAUCCUGUUAUUACGAAUUAUACCACUCUGCAUUUUGAUGAUCGAAUUUUUUUCGUUAUAAUAAUAAUAUACAUCAAAAGGUGUUCUUGGAGAAUUGUAGGGCAUGUUUAUGUAACGUUAUCUCGAUCGCUACUAAUCUUAAAGAUUUUAUAUUACUACAUAGUGUUAAAUAUGUCAGAGAUUGAAAGCGUGUAAGUAUAAUAAAAGUUAUUAUAAGUUUUAACGAUAUGUGUCGUUUCAAAAAUAAUGUAGUAUUAAAAUUUAAAGAUAAAACUAUAUUAUUACGUCUGAACGUCUAUAGGAAUAAUAGUAUUGUUUCUUACCUUAAUAAAAUUGUUUAUUGGAAUAAUAAGAUUAUGGCGACUAAGUCAAAUUAAGUAUUGGAAGUCUUUAUUUAUAUUUAUAUAUUAUCGUUUUAGGUUUUACGGUAGAUUCUUCUGUUUGACAACGAGCAACUUACUUUCAAUUAAACUGUAUAUAACUACGUAGCUACUAAAACAGAAAACAAUCGUUUGAAAACAAAGAAUGUUUAAUUUGUAUUAAAGUGAAUAACUGCAAAUCGAUUUGAUCACUGUCGUCUAACGGUUGUUUAAUGUAAUUAUAAUAUUAAAUGAUUAUUAUUUGAAAACGAUUCAAUAUUAUUUUUCAACAUUAAAUCCCUUGAGUCACUAUGAUGUAUUUUUGGUUUUACAAAAAAUUAUGCCAUUAAUUAAUUGAAUUUACCGUAGAGUUUUUAUUUGUCAUAUGAGACAUUUUUAUUAUUAUUUUUAAGACUUAAAAUUACCUACUUAUCUACCUUUAGUUGGUAUUUUAUUGAAUACUAUUGUAAUGAACAUAAAUAAAUAGAUAGAUACCUCUCCUACAUUUAACUUUAUAAUUAUUUUUAGUUGGUAUAAUACUGGAUAUAUUUUUCCGUUAACAAGAAAGUAGUUGUAGUAGUAGAUUUUACAAAUACCUUAGCUACAGUUAUUUAUGAUAGUCUUUAUGAAAUUUUCUUUUUAUGAACAGUAAAAUUAAUCUAUAGACACUGUAAUAAAAUCUUAAAUUAAAAAUAAAAUAAAAUCUUAUUGGAUUGUUUAAAUUUUAUAAAUCAAACAAUUUUUGGAACUAAUUUAAAUAAAUAAUUGUAUAAUAAAUAGUAAAUACAUAAAUAAUUAUAUUAAAAAGGGGUAAUAUAUCUGGAAAAAAAUUUCGAGGGUGGGAGGGUAAGUUGUAAACUAAAAAUGUGUAUAUGGUGUUCUAAUUUUAUUAUAAUAUAGUAAAAAAAAUUUGAUAUAGCAUAUUAUAACAUGAAAAAUGUCGAGAGAGGGGAUGAACUUCUCAAAUCCUCCUCAGGCACAGCCGUGGAAGUAUUUAUUUAUUUCGGUAAUCAUGUUUUUUAAAAAAAGUGAAUAAUUACCAUUAUUUAUCAUGUUUGAUUCUACAAAAUAUGUAUUGGUACAAAAAUAAAUUCUAUAGGUUAGACGAUAAAUUAAAGAGAUGUAAAACGAUCGCUAUAUUAAAACAAUAACGAUGUUGAUAUCAAUUUAAAUCUAUAAUAUGGUUUCAAGUUUUCGAACGAGAAUCAAACAUGUUUAAAAAUUAUGUAAAAGUUUUAAUUAAAUUGAAUAAACCGACUUGCUGUAGCACACAAAGUGUAAUGUUAAAUUAAACCGUAAAUCGAAAAACUUUUUAUUGCAUUGGAUAUUAAUAUUGAUGUAAGACCUAAAAUAAUCAAUAUUUAUUUAAGCAUUAAAGUUUGUUGAACUUGUCGAGAUCCAAGUACCUAAAAAACAAAUUGAUGUUUUAAAAAUAAAUAGGUAUUUAGUACAUAGUUAUUCAAUAAAAACCAAAAAAAAAAAAAAUUAUGUAGGUAUUAAUAAUAUUUUUUAAUAGUGUUCAAUCAGCUCUUCCUAUUGUAAUGAUAUGCUAUUUAAGCUAUCAUACAUUAUGUAAAAUAAAAUAUUAUGUAAUGNGAAAGGUAAUCAAAUUUAUAAUUAAUUUAUACGUGUAAAUCGAUUUUACACAACUAGGCACUCCCCGCCCUUAUUUUCGAAUUACUACACUAUAAUAGAUAAUUAUGUAAUUUAAUGUUUAUGUGUUAAAAUUAAGUUAUUUUUAUUUACAUUCCAAUGAAGUUUAUAUGUUUGUUAACGAAAAAAAAAAAUAAUUGAUACUAAAGACGAGUGCUCCACUGUUAAGGUUGGAAAUCGGUAACGUAGUACAUAUAACUUAUACCUGUAAGGAACGAUAAACCAUCGAUAAUAAAAAAGCGAUUCAAAGCAAAGUUUGAAAAAACCAAAUUAAUUUCGUCGAAAUGUAAUCUUAAAACGCUUAUGAAAAAAAAACUAAUGCAUUAAUAUUAAUUUUGUUUUUAGAUUCUGAGUGUUUAUUAUUAUUAUUUUUUUUUAUGUAAACAUUUUUUCUACCAGACAGCUUAAUCCGACCUACACAAUGUAAACCCUUUCUCGAAAGGAAAUUUUUUUGGGGUGGUACUUUUACUACUUUACUAAGGAUGUUAUUUUUGAUUUUACCGGUGGUAAAGGAAAAUGAAAAAAAACGGGAAAAUGUACGAAAUAUAUUAGUGAAAUACAAUGAUAGCACUUUUUCUGAAAGGAAAUCUGACUGGGAAUGUACUUUAGGUUUAGGGAGAUCAUUUUCCUAUUUUUUCAAGAGUUUUCCCAGCAAAUGUUAAAAACCAGGAAAAACGCAGGAAAACGAAAAAAUCGGUACAAUAUUAAACAAAUCGUAUUAAAGAAAAUAUAUAAUGCCUAUGUAAUUAUUUUACCGUAAUAUGACAUAUAUAUUGUUGACAAAGAAUCACUAUCUGCUGAACUCCGCUCAGAAUUUUCUUUUCGUUGGCAAUGGUUUACCAUUGCUUAUAGAUACAAGUUAAUAUUCUCUUUGUAUCCCAUCUUCCUAACUUCUCAACAACAACAGUGGCUGCACCCAUCGUGCGAAAUAUGUCUGUUUUUUACACCACUAUAACGUACAACUUAAAGUGCUCCUUGUUUUAAAUUUUCAAGCAUAUUUUACAAGUCAUAUAAUUUUAAUAAUAACAGAUAUCUACAAAAUAUAAUAUAAAAAAAUAUUAAAUACCUAUAAAUAAUAUAAUAAUUUCGAGAAUGAUUUGAAGAUUGUACUAUUUUGUGAAAUCUACACAUCUCUAAAAUAAUUUUUAACCUAAUAAUAAAUAACCAAAAUGUAAACUUCGCUUUAUUUUCUACGUUUUUUCCUGGUUUUGGUAAUUAUUAGGAAACAUGAGUAAGAGUUUAAAUAUCAUACAGAUUAAAUAGAUAUUCAAUGAACUCUCCAUUUUGUUGAUACGCGUAUAUAUUAUGUAUUUUAAUAGUACUGGAUUUACUAGUUUUGAGAUGACCAGUUGUCGAUGAUUUUAAUUGAAAAUAUUUUCUUGUAUUUAGUGAAAUUUUAAUGUAUUAUUAUUAAUAAUAAUUAUAAAAAAAAUAAAAAAAAUAUGGAUAUAUUUCGCUAAAUGGGUAGGCCACUAUUGUAGGUGAGAAGUUGAAAAGGUAGGAUAUAGAGAAGAAUUUAAUAUAUUUUUGUAGGCAAUAAUUAAUCUUUGCCAACGAAAAACGAUUCUGAGCAGAGUUCAGUUGUAUUUGAAAGACAAGACAUGCUUACGAUGUUUAUCAAAAUUUGAUAUUAGAAAAUUUUUACAAAAAAAAACUGCAUUAAAUUCAACUUAUUCUUAUUGAUCAUUAAAUUCAACUUGUAAUGAGCCUCCUGUUAAAUUUUUAAGCAUUUCAGUUUAAUUAAACAAUUGUAUCUAUGUAUAGAGUACCUACCUUCUGAACAAAAAUUAUGUAAAAUCUCGCACAGUUAAAAUGUCUAUACAUAGCUCAAAAAAAAAAAACUCAAAUAUAUUUAAAAUUUUAUCGCGUCUAAAAUAUAAGUUUUCUGUCUAAAUGUCUAUACGAUAAUUUUUAACUGUAUUACAAUAAAAAAACAAAAUUAAAAAUAAUAAAAGUAUUAUUUUCGUAGAUUUUCCUGGUUUUCCCGAUUAUUCUUAAUUAUUUUGAACACUACAUGGGAAAUAAAAAAUAAUUUUGUUAAUGUACCACAACAGGAAUAUUCAUUUUUAAAAAAGGUGCUAUACUUGAAAAUAAGAACAAGAUUUCAGGUAAAAUUUAUAACUACAACAUAAAGAAAAAAAAUAAACAUCAUUAUAAAACCAAUACAUUCCUCGGUUUACUCAGUAUCUAAAAAAAGAAUUAUAAGAAAGUAAUUAAGAAACACAAAAAUAAAAACAAAUUUUACUAGACGAGUAUCUGAAUAAUUAAUUACUAAUGUUUUUUUUAUUUUGACAACCAAUAUUAUAGAUAUUUAUUAAAUAUGAAUAUAUUUUUGGUUUUAAAGAAGAAAAGUUAUUCAAAUUAGUUGUGUAAAAUUUUUAAUACAAUAAAAUAAAAUGUUGAAUUGCUAAAUGGGUUAAUAAUUUUUUGUCAAACCGAAAAUACAUCAUGAUGACUUAAGGUAUUUUGAUUUUCAGUAUAUGUUUGAAUGUAAGUUACAUAAAAAAAGGGGACAAUAGGCAAAAUUACAUAGUCUUUCUUCCCUACGAUGAAAGAACAAAAGUAUCUAUAGAAUUUUAUUUAUUUUGGAUUUUUUAUUUAUAAUUUUUUUAUACAGUUUAUUUUUUGUUCUUAAAGGAUUGUCCAAUAUUAUAUUAUUAUAACAUUACUACCUACAAGUAUUAUAAUAUUGAUCACUGUGACUUACUUUGUUGCAACAUCUAGAGGUGACCAUCAUAUUAUAUGAAAAUAAUAUAGGAUAAAAAAGAAGCGAAAAAAUAGCAAUCCCUUUCAUUUCAUGAAAGCGUUUAAUUUAUUUGAAUGAUAUAUACAAGACGUGUGGCACGACUAUACAUUUAGAGUUGGUUAAAAAUCCCCUACGGAUAAAUACGACGCCGGGGUCUUUAGUGUAUAAUAAUAUAAAAGACGACGAUAGUGUAGCAGCAAAGGAUUCCUCGGUUCACUUGUCCGGUGGCCGUAUCGCGUAUAAACAGGCCAAACUAUACGAAAUGAUAUUGGCCCCGAGAGAAGCAAAAAGGAGAAGGAGUAGGUAAAAGAAGAGGUGGUGAUGGGUAUGAAAAAAAACGUGCCGAGACCGCACGCACAAAAUAUCAUUGCGAGUUUGAUUGGAAUUGAACAAGUGUCGAGAGCGGUGUGGGGGACGGAAAUAACGGUUGCUGAAUACAAAAUAAUACUACGAAGGGGAGGGGCAAUCGAAAAUAUAAGCUACAUCAUUAUAAAACAGGGAAACACAUUCGAUUCCGGUACCUUGAUGGCACCUACCGAUUUUUUGGUACAAAAAUACUCUCUAUAUCAUUUUCAUUGCCCCUUAGAUUGUCACGAUUAUCUAUAGCCAAAAUAGAAUACAAUUAGGAUACAAAAAAAAAAAAACCUAAAAUAAGAAUAAAAAACGAUCUCUAAAGGCCUUGUGUGUAUCGAAUUCGUUCGCACGACUAGAAAAUACCAAAGUACAAUUUUAUUUUUCACGAGAUCGAUUUUACUCUUAUUAUAAGUAUAUAUAAGAAAAUAAUAUCACUUUCCAUGCAUAAUUAUAAUAAUAUGUACAAUGUAUAUGUUAUACAUUAUUACAUAUUGCAUGUUUUUUUAAUGUAUUUAUCCUUCAAUAAUUUGACUGUAUAUCACGCAGAUCGUGAAAUAUUUCCAAGCAGUUAUAAUAAUAUGCAUACUUAUCAUUUUAUUUAACAAUUAAUUAAAUAAUUGAGCAAAACCGAAGAAACUUGAGAAAUCAUGUUCUUAUAUAUUAAAUGUAACACCUUUUAAAAAAGGAAACUUAAACUAGUUGAUACUUUAUGAAGGUCAUUUUUUGAUUUUUUAAGAGGUUUUCAUAAUAAUUGAGAAACAUCGGGAAAAAACGUAGGAAAAACGUAGGGAUAAAUAUUUACGGCAUGGCGUAACGAUUUCAUGAUUUUACAUUUGUGUAAAUUAUAUUUUCUAUUAGACAUCUUGCUUCAAUCAAACAAUAAAAAGAGAACUUUCCUGUAGUAAUUUUGUAUCUAAAUACUCACGAAGGAGAACCAAAAAAAAUACGUAGAAAAAAAGAGAAAAUUUAUUUUUAUUGUUUUCAAUUUUGUUAUUUUGUUAUGAUUAAGUUAAACAUAUUCGUAGACACUUAAAUUUUUGUCAGAAAAUUUCUAUUUGUUUUUUCUAGACGUGGUUAAAUUUUCAAAAUAUUUGAGUAAUCAUUGAGCUAUUUAUAGACAAUUUUACCAGUUUUUCACAUAAUAUUUACUCAGUAUGUACUCUGUGAAAAAAAUUGUUAGACUAAACAGGAGUGCUUGGAAAUUUAACAGUAGGUUAACUAUAAGUUGUAUUUAGUGGUCAUUAAUAAAAAUUUGAGUUAAAUUUAGUUUUAGAUUCUGAGUGUAGCGAAGAAUUUAUUAGUUUUACAAAGAUAUAUUUUAUUUUUUUAUUUUUUAUCCUGCAUUCAAAAACUUUACCUGUAACCUUGUUCCGAUAUGUGGGUGUAGCACCAUUUCGAAAAGGAAAUAUUGUCCAGAUUGUACUUUAGGGAGGUCAUUUUUGAUUUUCCAGGCGGUUUUUUAUAAUAUCUGGAAAAAAAACAGGAUAAAAAAAAUAAGAAAACGGAAAAUUGACGAAAAUAAUGAUUUAUUAUUACUUAAAUUUUGUUAUUUGUUGUAAGUCAGUUAAAAAUAUUUGCAGAGACUUGAAAUUUGGGCAGAAAACUCAUAUUUGUCUUGUUUAAAAAUUUUCUAAAUUUUUAAAAAAUUUAAGCCAUUUUUAAACUAUUUAUAGACAUUUUAAUUUUGCGUGUUUUGUCCGUAAAUUUAUUUGGUAGGUACUUAGUGGUUAAAUUGUUAAAAUUAACAAAAAUGUAUGAAAAUUUAACUGGAGGUUCAUUAAGAGCCUUACUUUGUUGUAAAAAUAAAAAAAUUAAGUUUAAUGUAGUAUUUUUUUUUAUAAAGGAAUUUUAAUAUCAUAUUAUAAUAAAAAUUAUUGAAUUAAAAUUAUGUGGAACAAAUCAAAUUUUUUUAUUAUUAUUUUUUUUAAUAAAUGUUUUUGUACCGAUUUAAAAAUGAUUGUGAAGUCAGAAUUGAGCGGAUUUAUUAAGUUUCGAAAUUAUAGUUUUUUGAAGUUCUUAUAUUAUUAUAUUAUUCUUAUAUUAUUGUGAAUAUUCUUCUUAUCGUCCUAGGGUUCACGAUUUCAAACCUGUGUUUGGAAAAAAUUGUUUUGCAUUUAUUUUUUCCUUUUACCCAAACAACUAAAAACAAAAACAUUUUGGGUGUACCUACAGAGAAGUAGAGACCCAGUCAUCGCUCGCUCGGACUAUUUUAAUCGCAAAAUGCCCCUCGAUUUGUUGUGGAAAUUUUUCUACCAGAAAUGUUGCUCUGAUGUAUCAAGUAUAGCUUAUUUUUUGAAAACAAAUUUUACUUCCAUAGUAAUUUAGGGAGAUAAAUUUUUGAUGUUUCAAGCGGUUUUCAUAAUAUCUGAGAAAAACCAGGAUAAAAUGUCUUAAAAACGGAAAAUGUACGAAAUGUAUGCAUUAGUAAACAAAUAUUAUAGCCUGUAUACAUUUUCUACUAACGAUUUUGCACCAAUUAAAAAAUAUGGCACUUUUCUGAAAGGAAAUCUGACUAAGGGAGUACUUUGAGGAGGUCAUUCUUAAAUUUUUCCAGGAGUUUUCCCAGUAAAUGUGAAAAAACCGGGUAAAACUUAGGAAAAAUCGGUACAACAUUAAACAUAUAUUAUUAAAGAAAAUAUAUAAUGCUUGUUUAAUUAUUUUACCAUAAUAUGACAUAUAUAUAUAUAUACUAUCAAUUGAACUGUGCUCAAUAUCGUUUUUCCGGUAGUAAUGGUUUAUCGUUGCUUACCGAUAUACAUUAAAUUACCUAUAACAGUGGCUGCACGCGUAUUUAUUAUUCUAGGACAUAUCUUUUUUUUAUUAGAAUUGAUGAAUCAAGUUUUGACGAAAAUCGUAAAUAUUACUGCCUUUCAAAGCAUACAUAGAAUUACUUUGAAUUGUUUUUUAUUAGCAAUGGUAUAACGUUGGAUACUAUUGGAAGUAUAAACUAUAUAAUUUUAUAUAUCCUAUCUUACCAACUACUCACUUACACGAGUGGCUUGUCAUUCAUCAGUAUCAUUUUUUUUUAAACUCAUUGAAUUAUAUCAAAAAAGUAAUAUUUAAAACUAUAUAGAAGUUGCUGUUUAACUUUUAAUGUAGAAAUAUUAGCAAACCUAACCUAACCUAAUAGGUGUUGAUAUACAUUUUAAAUCAUUUGCAUUUUUGUUUAUAGUCAUCAUAAUAUUAAAAUUAAUUAUUAUUUUAAUUAUUUUAGUGUUUACAGCAUAAAAUUGUAAUAUAGAGACCCUAUAGUUUUUAAGUAUAAUUUUUAUUUUGUGUGAGAUGUAAUAAAAUUAAUAAAACGGUAAUUUAGACAUCAUCACGGUCGUCUGCAGCAAAAUGGUUAUUGUUUCGUUUUGCGAAUACACUCGAAUAACUUUUGAAACUUUAACUAACAAACGGUCGUAUACAAUACACGCACGGUAGAAACGAAUGAUUAAAUAAAAUUUAAUAGAAUAUAAUACUGUCGUGUCGAAUAAUUAUAAUUAUAACAAAGACAUCGUUUGUAGUAUAGGUAUAUGUGCACGGCGCACAAUGCCCGAACAUUUUGGAAAAUGUAAAAAUGAUCAUUUUAAUACUCCAAUAAUUUUCCCUACAUUGACAGGGCAAAGUACGAAUGUGCUUGGGACAAGUGAAUUAAAUACAGCACAUACUUAUAUUGAAUGCUCUUCGAUGUGUAUCAAGUUUAUGACUACCUUAUUGUUUAAAUAUGUUAUUUAUUUCAUAUCACUUAUGACUUAUGAGAUAUAAUUUAGGAAUAAAUUAUACGUGCACAGGGGCACACUUACGAAACAAACCACCAUAUUAGACAUAAGAGGUACACUUGGAGGUGCUAAACCUUCUUCAAGCUUUAAUUCAGAAUUCCCCAGUUCUAAUUCGGACUUUUAGUAUUAAUAAAAAAAAAAAAACCAUUUUAAAAAAGAACUGUUGCUAUAUUUUUUCUGUUGGUUCAUUUUGAGUUUGACGAUUUUAUCCAAAAAUAUUUAAUAAUAAACAAUCCUGAUUUUCUUUAUUUUAUAAAUUACAUAAUAAUAUAGCAGUCCACACGAAGAACUUGGUAAAAUGUCCGAUUUCUCGAUAGGCAUAUUUACUUCUAAAUAAUUAUGACAACUUUUAGAUUCUGAGCGGAGGAAUGUAUUGGUUUUAUAAUGAUGUUUAUUUUUUUUUUUUUUUAUCUGAACUUUUUUAUUAAACAUUUUGCUUAGAUUUUCUAGUGUAGCACUUCUUCUAAAAUGAAAUCUAAAUAGAAUGGUACUCUAAGGUGGUCAUUUUUUAAUUUCCAGCUGUUUUGAUAGUAAAUAGGAAAAACCGGGAAAAACAUAGGAAAAAUUGAAUAAUAGGUAAAAUAUUGAAAUAUAUAAUUCUUGUGUUAUUUAUAUAAGUAAUUAUUUUACCAUAAUAUGACUUAUUGUAUGUGUAUAUAUAUAUAUAUAUGACAAAACAACAUUAAUAACCCUACUCUGCUCAGAAUCGUUUUUCGGUAGAAAUAAUUAAUUGUUACGUAUAUAUAGAUACGUACGUAUAGAUAUACAUUAAAUUUCCUUUCUACCUUUCCAACUUCUCAUCUACAACAGUGACUCACCAUCAUACGAAGUAUGUCCGUAAAUGUUUUAUUUUUGUUUCUUCAAUUUACCUGUAUAAACGCAGAAUAAAAUAUAUAGAGUUAAGUCAUCUCCUAUGUCCAGCAACCUUGUUUUGGCUACUUAAUUGUAUUUUAUUUGUUAUUCGAUACUCCAUAUUAUGGUCAUUGUUGAAUCUAUCUAUAUUAACUUAUUUACUAGAUGGUAUCAAUUAUUAAAAAUAUAUAGAUAACAGUAUGGCCACAGAAAAUGAAAUUUUGAAAAACUAAAAAUUGAUCUCAUACAGUAUUUCUUAUAAGUCUAUGAAAUAUUAACCAAGUAUACUCGUACAUGGUUACAUUUUCAAUUAAUUGCGAUAACCGUGAUCAAAAUAAUAGUGAUGAGUAAGAAAAAUUCUUAAGAUGGUCGUAGAUGGUGACUCCACUCUUGUGAUAAAUUUGAACUUCAUAAUAUUGUAUUGCAUCAUAUUAUACUCUAUAAACAAUAUUCCUAUAUUAUAGUGUUCGUACUUAAAUUUUGUUGUUUACGAUUCUCGAAAUGUUUUGAAUGGACUGGAAAUUAUUCUGAUGUAACUGCUCUGCAUAGUAUAAUACAAUAUUAUGUGCUCGAUUGUCUAUCUAUAGACUAUAAUACUUUAAUAAUGCGUACUAUAUCUAUAGAUACCUCUAAACACUAUCAGUUAGCUUGUAUUUCAUAUAAUUCAUGAAGGUUACAUAAUAUUAUUAACUAUUAUACAUACAUAUAUAUAUAUAUAAUAAUUUAAUUAAAUUGAAGAAAAAAAUGAUGAUGGACACAAGUUUUAAUUUAAAAAAACACCGUUAUUUUACUAAUUCAUGAUACGAUAGAAAAAAUUAAAUCAAUAAAUAAUUUCACAGUAAAAAAACUAUUCAUUUAUUUUAUCAUCUAUAAGUAGGAGCGGUUUCAAUUGUUACAAAUACAAUAAUAAUAAUUGUUAUUUUAAUAUAUAUGUUACUAUAUAAUAAUUUAAUUAUAAUAAUUGAAUAAUAAAUCGACAAGUUGAACGCAGACGAGUUUACAUUUUAUCGAAGCGAAAUUUGAAUAAACAAAAUAUUUUAGUUGAAAAAAUAUUUUUAAGUACGUGUAUUCGGCAUUUUUAGAGUCAUGUACUUAUUUUUAUUCCCAUUGUAUCGUACCGUAUUUUUCAAUUGCAAUAUUGAACUAACAAUUUUUUUAUUUUAAAUUCUGCUUUUUUAAAUUUGUAUUUAAUUAUUAAAUACGGAUGCGAAAAAAAUAACUUCCCUAUAUCGAUCAUUGUGUAUUUGUAUAUUAUGUGGUUUAUUAACAGGAAAAAUGCAUAUACUAUUUCAGAUUAAAGAUCUAAUGAUUUCGAAUUCAUGUGAUUGUUAUUCAUGUAUUAUAUGUUAUGUAGGUAAGUGUAACAUAUUUUUGUCUCGAGUAUACCUAUCUGUAUAUACCUACCGAUAUUGGUCAAUCAUUUUCGCUCAGUCAUCAUUGACUAUUUUACGAUGAUAAAAUUCCGUCUCCGUCUCUGAUAAUACGACCACACAAUCUCGGACAAAUAAUAAUAUAUUUCUAUUUAAAUGAUAACCGUAAUAUUUAACAAUAGUAUAAAAAAUAGGAUUAAAGUAGGUAGAUAGUUGAAGUUUUGUAUGGGCACGACUCUAAUAUUAUUGAACAGCUAUUCAUCUUUAAUGAUGAUUAAAGUUAUAAGAGUGUUAUAAGUACAAUGUAAAAUGUUUAAGUCAUAUUUUAUUCGUUCACAACAUUUAGUACUUUCUAAAAUAUUGGAUUAGAAAUUAAAAAAUAAUAUUUACACAAUACACACAAGAAAAUUGUAUUUAGUGAAUGUACAUUCUAUACAUGGCCGCAUGUAUUGACAUUUAAAAAUUAUUUGUAAAAUAAAAACGGUUACAUUAAAUUAUAUUGACAUAUUAUUUUAUGGUAGACGCGAUGGAUUGAUGUGGUGGAAGAAUAUAUAAAAACCUUUGAAGUUGAGAAUUGGAAGGAGGCAGUUCAAGAUAAAGAUAGGUGGCGAAAUGUAAUAAUGGCGGCAAAAACUCUUAGAGAGUAGACAUGUCAACAGAAGACAGAGAGAGAGAGAGAGAGAAAGAGAGAGAGAGGUAAUUUAUUGAUGAUUAAUUUCUACUAUUCGUGACUAUAAAAUGUAGACAUUAAGAAGAUGUUAUGUUAUAUUGGCAUGUGCUGUCUCAGUUCAACUAACGGGCAUUAUAGAAAAAUUUACCUUAUGUAGACUGCGUAGAAUUCGCUUAAUUUUCGUUUUAGAGUAAAAGCAUUUAUUAUAUAAUUAAAAUAAAAUUUGGAGAGGAAGAUGAUGUGUUUCUUUUAAGAUUCUGAGUGGAGUGAAGAAGCUUAUAGUUUUACAAAGAUUAUUUUAUCUGUUUUAUCUGUGCACAACUUUUUUACCAGAAGAUUUACUCGGAUUUCUACGUGCAGCACCUUUUCUGAAAGAAAAUCGGCAAGGGGAGGAACUUUAAGAGGGUAAUUUUUUGAUUUUCUCAGGAGUUUUCUCAUCAAAUUUAAAAAAUUGAAAAUAAAACGGAAAAAUAUAAGAAAUGUAGGUAUUAAUUAAAAUAUAUUACGACCUUUUUUCUGUGCACAACUUUUCUACCAGAAAUUUUGCUCUAACGUUUAAUGAUACUAAUGUUUCUAAAAGGAAAUUUCACUAGCAAAGUAUUUUAAAAAGUUAAUUUUUCGAUUUCCCAAGAGUUUUCCCAGCAAAUGUGAAAAACCGGAAUAAAACACGAGACACCGGGAAAAACGUUGGAAAACUGGGAAAAUCGGUACAACAUUAAACAAAUAUUAUAAAAGAAAAUAUAUAAAGCUUAUUUAAUUCUUUGCUAUAAAAUAACAUAUAUAUUGUUGUUAAAGCAUCACUAUCAACUGAACUCCGUUUAGAAUCGUUUUUUCGUAAACAAUGGUUUAUCGUUGCUUACAGGUAUACAUUAAAUUAUCUAUAACAGUGGCUGCAUCCGUCUUCAUUAUCCUAUGACAUCCUUUUUAAGUUCAUUUUUUUAAAUUUUACAGUUAUUUAAAAACGAUGAAUUAGUCUUUAUUCCUAAACAAUGCAUUGGACGUUAUAUUUAGAAUAAUAAGAAAAAUGUAUCGUCUUGACCUCUGAAGAAUGGUCCUCUUUUAAUUUUAUAAUAUGUGAUUUUGCUCUUAAUCUAAAAUUAAGUCAGUUCUACGUAGUCUGCGUAAGUUGGACUGAGACAGCAUCACAUGGGUAUGACGUCCAAUUAAAUACAAAAGGCAUGUUUGUUUUAUGAAUACGAACUCGUCAAAUAAUAGUAUUUUUUCUUUAUGUAAAAAAAAAAAUAAACUAAUCACGAAAUACAAUGGUAUUAUACAUAAACUUACGUGUAUAUUAUUGGUAUUUCUCAUUCAUACUUUUUUUUGCUAUAUAAAAAGAAUAUGUACCUAUUCACUAUUUUUUUCCUAUACGUAUUAUGUCCGUUAAAUGUACAAAAAACAUGACUAGUCAUAUAGUUCCACACUAAUGCAUAUUGCCAUUCUAGAUACAUUAACCAGAUCAGGUAGGCAGACAUACUUACAAUGCAAUCUUUCUGAUUCAGCUUCACAAUAGAGUUUGAGAAGAUCUAACCUAACCUAGCCGCGGUUUACUUUACUGAAUAAUUGAACUCGGGUAGGUAUUAUAGGCACUCUACAUACUAUUUUAAAUAAUGUUACACGUAACUCCAAGAUUUUUUUUUUAAAGUUUAUAAAGUUUCUAAUAAUAUACAAAUAAACAAGUUAUAUAAUUGCGUUAUAUCCUAACCUAACCUAUCAAGUUCCGUAUUUACGAGUCUAAAACGAAAUAAUGUCCAAUUAAAUACAAUGAAUGUUCAAAUAUAUUGGAUACUAGGAAAGGUAUUAUUAUUUUUUUUUUAUGGAUCGGUUAAUCAUUAAUUAAUAAAUCAGUUCUAAAAUAUAAAUAGAUAUUAAAAUAACAUGACAUACCUAAAAUUGUUAGUUGUAUUUUUUUCCUUUAUUGACAAAGUCAUCCAAAAAUCAAAACAAAUUAUACAAAAAAAUUGCUAGUUGUUCUUAUAAAUAAUAGGAACAACUGGUAAUUUUGUAGAUUUUUGGAUUACUUUGUCAAUAAAGGUAAAAAAUACGACUAAUAAGACUGCUCAAAAUCGUUUAUCACUGCGUACAGAUAUAAAUUGUAAAGGUUGGGAAAAGAGAAGGAACUUUCAAUAAUAAUAAUAGAUCGAGAGCUAGAAUAAAUGGAACAUUUCACGAGAAAUAAUCAGAGAUACAAACUGAUCCAGCUUAUAUUACAAGGAAACAGAAGUGUGGGAAGAAGACGAAAAUCUUGGCUGAAGAAUCUCUCUGACUGAUAUAAUAAAACGUCAAUUGAUUUAUUUUGAGCAUUACUUGACAGGGAUAGCAUUGUCAAUAUGAUACCCAAAACAUGAAAGGGAUAUUAAGAACUUGAAGAAUAAGACAAAUAUAAAUUAAAUUAUUAUGCUUUUAUAAUAUAUCCUCCUUUUUAACUUCCUAUUUAAAUCAGUGGCACACCAUUAGUAGUAUUAGACUUUGGUUUAUUUAUAUAAUUUAUACUGAUGGGUAACGAUAUAAUUUUGGGUAUCGAUAUCGUUCCAAUUUUCCCGAUAUUGUACCACAAUAUCGUAAGGUAUCUUGAAUUGUACGAUAUCUAUAUCGUAUCGAAAAUAUCGAAAAUACUUUAAAACUAUUUCAAAUAUUACUAUUAGGUAUUUUAAAUAUUUUAUUUUUAAAUAUACAUAAAUAUAAAUAUUGAAUUAAUAAUUAUAAUUUAUUAAUUCAAAUAUUUGAAAUUUUAAAUUAAAACUUUUUUUUUAUAAAAAAUGGGUGUUCAAAUAUUUAAUAACAAACGUUUAUAUAAUUAUGUCACCAACGACACAAUUUACACUGUGAGUCAAAAUAUCCAGUGGUACUAAUAGGUACCUAACUUGUUCAAAUAUCAAAUGUAUUUUAUCAGUGAAAAAAAUAUAAUAUUGAAUAUAAGAAUACAGGCAAACAGAAAAAAUAAGUAUUUUGAACCAUAAGAAACCACAUAAUACCUAACAUUACAUAUAAUAUUAUAAUUUAUUUAAUAAUAUUAUUUAUUAUUGUCAGCCGACAGAUAUUAUUAUUUAAUAUUUAUCAUAGCUACAAAUAAUUCCUGAUAUAGGAUAUGAUAUUAAUAUCGACAUUUUUUCACGAUAUCGAUAUCGUAUUGAAUUAUCGAUAUUUUUGCCCAGCACUAAUAGUUUAUACCUAAAUCUGGCAAUAUUAUUGUUUAGUGUUUAUUUAGUCAACGUUUUGACGUAGACCUAUAAUAGCCGUAACUGAACUCGUUAUUACGCGUACGCACCUAUUCUGCAUAAUAUUCUGUACUUAUAUUUCGUCUUAUUUAUGGCAAUCUAAUGUUAUCAAAUUACAAAUAAAUGCUGGUCGUUCAUUAAACCACGAUAAUGCAGUCUAAUAAUACUAAUUUAUUGUUAUUUAUUCGUGUUUAGGAAUGUAAAACAAUAGGAAGUCCAUUACAAAUGAAGAUGUCUAGACCAUAUAUCGUAUGUUGCUGUCAUACUUACCCUAUGUGUAAAAAUGCAUUGUUUUUCAAGUUUGAUCAUAUACUAUAUACGUAUAUUAUACUUAUAGGUACUAUUUAAUGGCGUUCUGAUAAAUUUAUAUUUCGGGGAGGAUAUACUCAGCCAUCUUACUUCAGCUAUUAAGUUUCUAAGAUUUUAGAUUCUGAGUGGAGUAAAGAAGCUUAUAGUUUUAUAAAGGUGUUUAUUAUUUUUUUUAUUUUUAUCUGUACACAAGUUUUCUACCAGUAAUAUUGCUCCAACUUUUGUUGAUAGCAAUGUUUCUAAAAAAAAAUUUAUCUAUCGAGGUACUUAUUUUUCGAUUUUCUAAGAGUUUUUUCAUCAAAUUUAAUAAACCAAAAAAAAAAAAAUGGAAAAAUAUGACAUGUAGGUAUUAGUUGAAAUAUAUUACGGCCUUCUUUCUUUCUGUGCAUAACUUUUCUACCAGCAUUUUGCUUUAGAUUCUAAUGAUAGCAAUAUUUCCAAAAGGGAAUUUCACUAGCGAGGUAUUUAAAGGGGUAAUUUUUUGAUUUUCUCAAGAGUUUUCUCAGAAAAUGUAAAAACUGCGUUAAAAUAUUGGAAACCUGAGAAAAUCAUAGGCAAAUUGGGAAAAUUGGUACAACAUUAAACAAAUUAUAUUAAAGAAAAUAUAUAAAGCCUAUUUAAUUAUUUUACUACAAAAUAACAUAUAUAUUGUUGACAAAGCAUCACUAUCAACUGAAUUUUGCUCAGAAUCGUUAUUUUGUAAGCAAUGGUUUAUCUUUACUUAUAGUUAUACAUUAAAUUUCUGUCUAUAUCCUACCUUCCCAACUUCUCACUUCACCAGUGGCUGCGCCCGUUCCCAUUAUCUUGCCUUUCUUUUUAAAAUCGAUUUGUACAUUUAAAAUAUUAUUAAAAUUAUUCGUCUUUGUUUCAUUCUGUAUGUGUAAUUAUUCUAAAAUUGAAUUAAUAUAAAUAUUAUUUUAGGUAAUAUUUCUAAGUCUGUAUUUUUAUCAAUAUUUUUUGAUUACACAUUUAAAAACAAUCAGCCGUAAUAUGUUAUCACGUAAUGACUACGAUUAUUUAUUAUAUUUAAUCAAUACUAUUACCAUAAAAAAAAUACAAUUGUAUAGCACCUGAGCUGCCAUAAGCAAACUUUUCAGUUGCACUCUAUUAAAUACUAGUUCCAAUGAAGCAUUUUUAUCCACUGUUCGCAUGUCCUUCAUUACUACAUCCUUCCAUCUCGUUCGUGGUCUACCUAGUGGUCUAGUCUUUGGUUCUGUUAAGGACUAUUUUUAUUAAAUUGUAUUCGACUUUCCAUAUGUGUCCAAAUCAUGCCUUCUAACUACUUUGUCCUGAAGCACGACAGUAUUUUCGGUUUUACAUAUUACAGUUUGUAAAAGUACUCAUUUUUUCUUCUUUCAAACAUUCUUUGUUUUAUAUUAUACACUGCACCAAAAAUGUUUCUGAAUACCUUUCUAUCAAAUAUUGCAAGCUUAUUGUUGUCUCCUUUUGUUGUGGACAAUGUUUCCCACCUAUAGGUAACUAUUGGUAACCUAUUGGUAUCAGAUAGCUUAUGUAAAUCAAAGUUUUUGACUUUUUUGACAAUAUUUUAGACUUAAGUAGUUUAUAGAUACUAUGCUAGUACUUAUUUUCGCUUAUUAUUCUUUCGUUAAUUUCUCGAUGCAUAUCAUUUUUAUUAUUUAUGUUCACUCCCAGAUAUUUAAAGUUGUCUACUACUUCAAACGUUAAAUUGUCUACAUAAAAGUCAGACCUAUCUUCGUUUCUUUUGGAAAGGACCAUACAGUUUGUUUUUUUCUCAUUACCACAUAAGUCAUUAUACUUGUUAAAUGCACCAAGUUUAGACAUUGUCUGGACUUCUCUUGUCUUGUAUUACCUAAAAUGAUUAUAUCAUCCGUGUACGCUAAUGACACAUUCACAAUCACCUCUAUUUGUUGUGUGUGGCCUAUUUCUCUUAAAAUCUUUUUCAGGUUUAGGUUAAAUAGGGUCGGGGAUAAAGCAUCUUCCUAUCGUAGUCCCGAGUUGAUUUUGAAAUCCGAUGAUGAUUCUCCAAGAAGUUAUUAAUUAUUAUACACAAUAUAACAUUUAUUAUUUAUUAUUAUAGAAAAUGAUAAAUAGUCAAAAAUAAUUUAUUAUCACUAUUAAAUAUCAGUUAUGUAUAAUAUCAUUAUAAUAACAAUAUAGCCUAACUAUACCUGUUAUUUGACACGAAAAAAAGGCCAUAGGAUAGAAUCUAUCUACUUUAUUACCCAUAUCCCCUCUCUUUCGUGAAAACACUGCAUAUUUAUGUAUUAUACUAAUAUUGAGUAUACAGAGUGAUCAAUCUAUCUUAAAACAUUCAUUAUCUCGGAAAUUAUUAAACUUUAUUGGAAUUUGUUUUACAUAAAAUUUAAUAAACAAUGGAAGUUCUACAACUUAACAUUUAUGUUUUUUUUUGUUACCCUUAUUUUCAGGGGUUAUUACCAUUACUUAUUUUUAAUUUUCAAAUGGCAACCUAUUUUAAAAUGUCCUUAAAUAGAUGGUGUAUUAGUUAGGGUUAGAUCGGGGUAAAGUUGUAAUGCAAUAUUAAAACGCCUCACGCCAUGCCGCCACAUAAAUGCUCAACUACUGUCUCCUGACCUAAACUUUAAAAUGGAAUAUCUCGUUAACGGAUAGAAAGCAAUCAAAAAUAUUCACACCAAUAUUUAUUUUAAUUAAUACUCCAUCUAUUUGUGGAAUUUUUAAUAUAGGUUGACAUUUGAAAAUCAAAGAUAGGUAGUGGUUUUUACCCCCAAAAUAAGAGCGACAAAAAAUAACAUAAAUGUAAAAUUGUAGAGCUGCUUUUUUCUUUUGUGUUAGGUUUAUAAAACAAAUUCCGAAAAGAGUUAAAACUUUUCGAGAUAAUGAGUGUCUUAUGAUAGAUUGAUCACUCUGUAUAAGUAUUAAGUAUUGGAUAAUUUUCUCAAUAUACAAUAUAUAUUUAUUAAAUUAGUUAUAUGUACCUAUACUCGUGAUUCGAUAAUUCAUGAGAAUUUCUAUAGAGAAACGCCCCUGAGAUUUUCCUGAUAAAUUCGACUCUUCAACCGAGUUAUAUCUAUAGUCACACGUAGGUGUAUAAUAAGUACUUACCUACUGCACUUAUAGGUAAUAGAACUAUUGCAGUAUUUCUCACCACACUAUAUAUUAUUAUAGAAGUCAAAUAAUAAUAAUAUACAAUACGCAAUUGCACGGAUCGAUUAUUAAUCGCCAGAGGCGUACAAAACGUGAUCUAUUCAGUUUCUGAAAUCGAAAGUUUAUAAAUACUAUAAUAUCGUUCAAAAUCCGUGCGUUUGUUGAGGAAACAUUUUACAACUGUUAUUCUUUAUUUAUUACGUUAUUUUGGUAACAAUUGUAAAAAAGGUUGUUCUCGUAUACAUCCAACACUGUUUGAGUUUUUUCGGUAUUUAACAAUGGCUAGUAGUACUGGUUACAAUUUAUAUUUCGGAUUAGUAUAAGAGUAUUAUAUUUUAUUUAUUACGUAUUUUAAUUUUUAGUUUUAUGUCAGUGAUGUCACGUCAUCAAUUUAUUAGGUGAAUGGAAAACACAAUCUGAAUUUUAAGUUUAUCGGUAUAUUAUAUAGGUUAUAUUCUAUAAACCGGCGAUCAUCUUCGUGAAGAUUUGGAGUAAAGUGUAAAAUAAAAUCUUUACACGAAUCAGUAUAACGAUUCAAAAAAUAAAAAAAAAAAAUGUACUAACAAUUUUAAUACAGGUUUUAAUCAAUGCUUUAUGGCAGUAUACUCUAUAGUUGUAGAAUUUCAUACGGAUUUCGUAAUAUUUUAUAACCAUAUUAAAAUUAAUAUUCAGCAUACCUCCUAUAGAUACAGGAUGAAAUCUGAUCAUAUUAUAGACAUAUGACACCGAGCAGUCGAAUUAUAUGCGCUUAUAAUAAUAUAUUAUGCAUAAUUUACCGAAUUUUCAAAGAACACUAAGUCGUAUUCCAUCAUUUUAUACGAUUUGUAAUCGAAUAUUUUAUAUUUCCAUAUUAAAAAAAAAAAAAUGUUAAAUAUUUUGCUUAGUUAUUAAUACGUCGUAUUAAUAGUAUUACAAAUAUUUAUGGCACAAAAUUAUAUUAUUAUAAUAUUAAUUUUGAAAUUCACUCUAAGUAUAAUAAUAUAAAGGUUUUAUUUUUAUAAUUAUUGAUAUUUUUAUAUACAGGACUACAUUUAAAUCCACUAAAUAUAUUAUAUUAGAGUGAAUAAACUUAAGUGCAUUAGGCAUUUAAGAACAUUUAAAAACAAUUUGUAUUUGAAUUUUAGAUGGAUUUUGUAAACACUUUUCCGGUGUUUUUAAUAAUGCUCAGUUGUUCACAGCUAUAACAUAAAAUAGGUGGAUUUCUUUUUGGUGUUACUUUAUUCAAACAAUUAUUUUUCAGGAUUUCUAACAGUGUUUCUAAAAACUCAAGAACACUGACAAAAAAUGACAAUACAUUGAUUUGACUUUUGUUAACUUCUGAGUUAGUCAGUUUACUAAGUUUCACUAAAAAUAAAUUUUUGAUUGUAAUGAUUUAUCAUUGCUUUCAUUAUUAUAUAAAUUAAAUUAUUACCUUAGAUCUCUAACAUAAUGACCUACUCAAGGCGCGAAGUAUGUCUGGAUUUUUUAUAGUGAAUAGCAGAGUAUUAUUUUUUAAGUCUUUGUUUUAUUAUAAUGAGGAUUAUAAUAUUAUUAUAUAAAAGCAUUAAGACUUAUAUAUAAUCGUGUAUUAAUUAAUUAGCGUACAAAAUAUUGCCAUAAUAUAUAAUGUCUCACAAUAAACUUCACUGUUUGAUUGUUAAAAGUUAUAACGUCGUUUUUUUAUAGUGCGCAGAUAUCAGCGUGAGAACUAAAGAAAAACAAUGUUAUUAUCGAGUUAUAUAAUUUAUCGCUUCCUAUAUUAUGAUAAAUAAUAAUAUCUAUGCCAACAAUCACCUACAGACGCGUUGAUUAUACCACAAUAUCAAACCAAAUAAAAAAAAAAACACAGACAUACUUUGUACGAUGGGUGGCCUACUGUUAUAGGUGAGAAGUUGGUAGGGUAGAGGGGAAAUUUAAUGUAUAUCUGAAAAAAAAUGAUAUUUUAUUUGAAAUUUACUUAAAACUGAGUUUGAAAUAUUUUAAUAAUACAUCGCGAUAUUGAUUCAAAUAAUAAUAUUUAUGUAUUUACUUGUUUCAAUAUUCCUGCAGUAUAUAGUUAUAAUAAAAUAAUAAUUGGACAUCGUUUUAUUGAUUCGAUAAAGUUUUAGGCUCCUAAAUAUAAGUUUAGAACUCCUUUAUUCUCGUUGUAUCCGUCAGUGUCCGUCUAGUAGUACCAUAUAUUAAAUGUAGUAAACACUUUAAUCUUUGCUAGUGCUUAAUUAUGAUUGUUGGUUUAGUUGAUAUGGGAAUAUAUAUAUCAUGAUUAUUCAUUUAAAUACUAAUUUGUACAUAUAUUAUUGAUUAUCAUUAUUAUAAUAUAUCAUUUUCACUAUAAUUUAAAAAUAAAUACAUUAACUGAAAAUAAUUCAAAAUAAUUUAACACAAAUUUAUACUACAGUGAAGAUUAAAAAAUAUAUACCAAAAUAUAAGUACUUCAAGAAUUUUGAAAAGGCCCUGUAAGCUACUUAAAAAUUAAGAUAUUUAAUUUAUAUGGGUUUCUACACAUAAGUAUAAUAUACUAGGUUACCAAAUUAAUUUAAAAUUGUGUAUUAUGAUGGAAUUAUAGAUUAUUGUUUAAAAUAUUUAUAAAAACCGGAAAAUCGCAAAAUGAAAUUUUUUAAUUUUUUUGAAAUUCUUAAUUUUGUUUCGUUUUAAAAAUAGUUGUUCUAAGAAAAUUUAAAUUGCUAAUAACUAUUGGUUUUGCAGUUUUUUUUUUCCAAAAGUGGGUGGGUAAUUGAUAUUUUGCUCCCAUGUUAUUCGAAUUGGUUUGCGCCUCUGGAAAUAGAUAUAAUUACUUAACAGGGUUAACUAUUAUGCCUCAUAGAGUGGUCCGUAUAAUACAUAAAAAAAAGAAGAACGAAUCUAAAAAAAAAAAAGCUACGGGUUGUUAUAUCACCCCUGCAAAUAUGCCACAUAUAUACAUGCCUAUAAUAGGUAUAUUAUAUUAUAUAUAGAUUAAUCUUUUCUACGUUUUUUUUCUUUUUUUGAAGAGCUAUACGAUUUUGAAAAAACUAAGAUUUACUAGAUCAACUAACAUUUAAGUAUGUAAUAAUCGGUAAUCAAUAAUAUUUAUUAAAUUCAUUAAAUAUUUAUUUCUUCAUUAAUGCAGGUAAGUUUACCUAUUUUAUACUCAAAAGUUCGACGAGAUAAUAUAAAAACUUGGCGUUAGAAAUAUUUGUUUUGUUUGGCUCGUGCCAAUAAUGCCGGGUAGUUUUCAUUAUUAUUUUAAAUUUUUCAUUUGAAAAACAAUAUUCCAAGUUGAACUCGUGGUUUACUAUACUAAAGUGCGUUUGAACACUUGACAUGCCCGAUGUUUUACGGAAGAAAAAAAUUCAAUAUCAUAACAACUGAAUAAUAGCUUCCUCAUUCCGUUCAGAAUACAUAAAUAUUAUAAAAGUAAUACCAUAAACAACUUAUUUUAAAAAUAUAAUUAUUAUUUUAAUUAUCAAUGGGAUAUAUACUUAAUAAAUAAUUAUAUUUUAAAUUAUAGACCUUUAAAAAACGCCGCAGAUUCAAUAAGUGUAAGAUAUCACACCUAUAAUAUAAUAAGGAUUUAUAAUAUAGAAAUAAUAAAAAUAUAUAGGUUCUAUAUACAUAUUAUAAUUAAACUACAUUACUCAACUACAUUUAGAAAUAUUGGCAUUGACCUCAUUGCUUUGUUUUUAAAAAAAAAAAAUAAUUUCAUAAACAACUUGUUUACAACAUCAUAUUCUUGUAUAGGUGAAUUUAAUUGCACGUUAAGCAUUUCUUAAUAAUGUUAUUAUUAUACCUAGGUGCUUACACUAAAUGAUAGGUAUUAACCUAUAAUGGUUUUUGAUGAUAAUUUGUUUUAUAGUAGAUAUACUCAGUUUUAUCGGAUAGGUUUUUAUUUAGUUUUGAUAAAUAUUAUAGUUUAAAAGGGCUAUAAUUUGUAAUUAAAACUCCUACUCGAAACAUUUGUAUAAUUGAGUGUAGCAAAACAAGCUAUUAGUUUUAACUUUUUUAUUAGUAAAAUCACUGCUUUUUUUUGAGUCUGAGUGAAGCGAAGAAGCUUAUGGUUUUUCAAAGAUGUUUUUUUUUUUUCUAUCCGUGUACAAUUUUUAUACCAGAAGAUUUUCUCGGAUUUGGAUUUCUACAUGUAGCAGCUUUUCAGAAAGGAAAUCGGCGUAGAGAAGUACUUUAAAUAGGUCAUUCUUCGAUUUUCUCAAGAGUUUAUCAAAUGCGAAAAACUGAAAAAAAAAACGGGAAAAUUUACGAAAUAUAAUAAAUUUAAUUUACCAUUUUUUUUCUGUGGACAACUUUUUACCAACACUUUAGCUCAACUUUUGAUGAUAGCAAUGUUUCUAAAAUGAAAUUUCACUAGCGAGGUACUUUAAAGAGGUCAUUUUGUGAUUUUCCUUAGAGUUUUUCCAGCAAAUAUGAAAAACCGUGAUAAAACAUGGGAAAAACGGUGAAAAAUCGGGAAAAUCGGUACAACAUUAAGCUAAUUUUAUUUAAGAAAAUAUAUAAAGCAUAUUUAAUUAUUUUUUUUACUUUAAAAUGACAUAUAUAUUGUUGAAAAAGCAUCACUAUCAACUGAAUUUUGCUCAGAAUCGUUUUUUCGUAAGCAAUAGUCUAUCGUUGCUUAUAGAUAUACAUUAAAUUUCCAUCUAUAUCCUACUUUCCUAAAUUCCCACCUAUAUCAGUGGCUGUACUGUCCCCAUUAUCUUACCUUUCUAUUUUCAUGCUGUAUCUUCAAUAAUAUAUAAUUUCCACCCAGUUGUACUAUAUUAAUUUAAAACGUUUUUCUAGAUUUCCGACAGUUUUUUUAGAAAGUUGAAAGACAACAAAUGUCGAUACCUCAAUUUAAUUUUUGUUACUUCUGGGUUAUCUCUAUCUACGAAGGGUAAAGCACUUCUCAUACACUAUAAUUUUACCAGUUUACCGAGCUUCGUUCAGAAUUUUCCUUAUUGUAAUAAUUUAUCGUUGCUUUCUGUGUAUUGCACACUAUCCAAACUCCCUCCUCGCCCAAUAAAAGUUGAAGUAUGUGAAGUGCAAAUAUAUCCGUUUUUAUUUUUUUUUAUUAUUAUUAUUAUUUUAAUACAUCUUAAUCUGAUUAUUUAUGUCUAAAAAUUUUUUGUCGUGUAACAAUAAGUGUUCAAUAAUUAGAAAAAAACCAAUACUAAACAAACAUUUAGAAUAUUUAAACUUAUAGAUUGGGCCUCCCACACGCUAUUGUUUAUUAAACCGUAUACUCAAUAAUAAUAUUGAGUACACCUAUACCCACCAGUGGCGUAAUUUGGUAAUGUUUAUGGGGGGGGGGAUGAUGAAAUGUCUUCACAUUUUAUCUAUUAUCUCGUCCAUCAAAAAAAAAAAAAAAUUAUCAUAAUCAUAAUUUUAGGUGAAUUUGAUUUCUGUUUUUUCUAAUCAUUAUGAAAUCAUUUAAGCUUUAUUUUAAAACCAUUUUUUAUAUUUUACCUUUACUCCAUAUACCUACCUUAAAUAAGUACAUACUUUUGAUUUUCAAACAGGUCUCUCCCUCUUUAAACAUAGAUUUGAUUAGAAAAUAUUUUUUUAAACAUUUUGAUAUACAUAACACUCAUAUCAGACUUACCGUUUAUGAGUUGUAUCAUUUUAAAGUUUAGACCAGAAAAGUAGGGAAGGGUAAUAAAUUGAUAAUCUAUAACCCUAUAAAAAAGAAAAAAACAUCAUCUCUUAAACCGUGAAUUAAUAAUUUUCAAAAUUUGACCAAACGAUAAAUCUGUUGAAAGGUUGUUGGAUUAAAAUGUUUGGAUUGCGUUGGAUAACGAAAUAUAACCUUAAUAUGAUUGUGACAUUUUAUGUCAUCAUAUUUAUCAUAUAUAUUAUACCUAUAUUAUCAGGUAUAAUUGUAUAAAAUAAUUAUACAUUUAAAUCAUUGCAAAUGAGAACUGAUAAGGUGAUGAGAAAUAUUAAUCGGAAAAAUUCGUAAAAUAAAAUGCUGGAUAAUAUAGAAAUGUACUUUUUACUUUAUUUUUUUUUUUUUUUGUAUAUUUUCAGAAUAUUUUGGAAAAGUUCAAUCCAGGAGCCCGGCAAAUGAUAAACGCGGGUAAAGCGUAUCUGAAAGCUCUUCAUGGUAAGUUAUCAAAUUGUACAUUAUUUUAGUUAUGGGCGCAAAAAUUCUGUUCUAUAUAAUAGUAGACAGGAUUAUUAUUAUUAUCAUAAUA